rnacentral:lncRNA from 1 species
UUUUGGAUGGGGAGGUGCUGAAAGACUACAAGAGCUACAAGUUUACCACGCAAGCGAUACCAAAGGGGGAGGGCUGCUUGGUGAAAUGGACCGCUGAAUAUGAGAAGGCAAGUGAGGAUGGGCCGGAUCCUCGUGACUAUCUGGAGCUUACAGUUAAUGUCAUCAAAGACAUCGAAAGUCACCUUCUCAAUGCAUAACACCGAGACCAUAUAUGCCGUUUGCUAGUAUUUCUCAUGUAAAUAAAGUCUGGAACUUGGAAGUGCAUGUACCUACGAUCUCUAUCCUUCAAUAAACGCAAAUUCCAGCUGUGGACUGGGUGAUUAAUGCCGAGAAGAUAAACUUUCCUUAAUUAUUUGUGCAAUAAUGUUAUUGCAUGCGUGUAAUCGGUUGUAUGCUUGUCUAGGAGUCGCUUUGUGAUUUUUAGUUGGUGUCUCUUUUAAUGGGGUUCUUGCAUGUAAUGUGAAGACCGUAUGAUGCAUGAGGAAAUAAAUGAAGUGAAAAUCACCAAGGGCUCAAUCACGAGGAGCCUUUGAGUACGUCCACACAUAUGUGAAAAAUCAGCCUGUAACAAAUUAAACUCUUAAUCAUUAAAAGGGCAAAAUCCCACUUUGCACAUAAUCUAAAUAAUUUAUCUAAAAAUCUAAGAAUCUCUCUCUCUCUCUCUCUCUCUCUCUCUCUUUUCAAUUUGACGAGGACAUAAAAGUAUAAAGUGAUAAAGUUUAAGGGUAGUGACUUCUAUUGAAUUUUGUGAGGUGGUCAGCUAUAAAUUAUGCAAUGAGGAAAAUAGAUUAAUAGUGUUCAUGCAACCAAAUAGAAAAUAGAAAGUAAUAAUAACAUUAAUAGUAAUCAUUUAAUAAAUACAAUUAAUGCAAUUAUGCUAAAUGAAAAUAAUAAUAAUAUUAUUAUUAUUUUUAACUUUAUUUAUGAUACAAAUGAAUUAAGUCUCUUAGAAAUUUGUCCUGUCCAUUUUUAUUUUUUUUAAAGUAUCAAAAUAUUUAAAUCUCUUAAAAUAAAUCGAGUAAUAUUUUUUUUAAAAAUAUAUUAUGAUUUGUUUGAUUGUUAUGCAAGUGAAUUUUAUUAUUAUUAUUUUAAAACUUUGGUUAUUAUUGACCCUGAUCAAUAAGAGUAAGGUUGUGUUUGUUUUUUGGCUGAAUAGAAAAAGUCAAAUAUUUUAGUUUUUUCUAUUCAGUUAAAAGUAACUCAUUGAUAUCAACCAACAUCAUUAAACUAAACUUAUUGAUAAUAAGUUCACUUUAAUUAUGUUGGUUAGUAUCAAUAAGGUAUUUUUAGCUGAAUAGAAAAAACCAAAAUAUUUGGCUUUUUCUAUUCAGCCAAAAAACAAACACCACCGAUUGUUAAUCCUUAUUAUCUUUGGUGGGGGUAGUGAUGCAAUGCAAAUCUAGUUAAUAAAGAUGUUAUUACCCUUUCGUGUACUAGUAAGAGGAACAAAGGGAGCGUAACAACCUAGUACAAGUCCCAAUUUUGAACACCACAUUAUUAAUAAUGGACCAAAGUAAUUUGUUCAUAAUUUUUUUUUAAUAUGAACUGAGUAUACAAAGUGUGUUAUUUAAUCAUAUCUUUAAAUUGAAAGUGUUUAAUUUUUUUUUGUGAAAAAAGUUGAUUUAAUUAUUGAAUUAAAUACACUUGCUAAUUGAUUUUUAUAGAUGCCUAUUAAUGUCUUAUAAUUUAAUUUUGUACAAACCUUAUUUGACUCACCAUUCUAUAUUAUUAUUAUUAUUAUUAUUUUAAGGUAAAAGUGGUAUCUACAGGAGAGAUCAUGAUAGGAAAAGUGUUUUUAUUAGCAACACCUUUGAAAUUGAUUUAUUUUUAAAAUUGUUUACUUAAUAACUUUGGAAUUGAUUUAUUUUUAAUAUUGUUUACUUAAUAUUGAAUUCAAUUAUAAUUUCUAGAGUUUUUAUUUAAAUGGUGGGAAGAGUCAUUAAAUUUAUUAUUAAGAUUUUUUAAUUAGUUUUGAAUUUAUUAAUUAAAGUGUUCAUGUGUUUGAAACAAAUGUUGAUACAAAAUGAUCAUGUUACCUUACUCUUUGGUAUUGUGGUGUCGUAGUUGGUUUUAUAGGUAUUUUUAUUAUAGAGUAUUAGAAUAUGUUUCACUGCUUUUAUUUUAAAGGUGUAUUUGGUACGCGGGAAUAUGAAUAAAAAAAGGAUGAGAUUGGAAGUGAAUCAUAAUCUCAUGUAUAAGAGAGGAAUCAAAAUCCUAGUGAGAGGGGGAUUUGGUUUUCAUAACACUGAAUUUUUUAUUUCUAUUCUCAUUUUAAAAAAACAAUUCAAACACAUUAAUAAAUGUGAAUGAAAUUAGUUUCUCAUUGCCAUUUUCUAUUCCAACAUUCCAAACAUGCUCUAAGUGUUUUUAGUAAAAAUGUUUUUAUUAAAUAUGUUUUUAAGAAAGUCACCUAUUAAAUAUUUUUUCAAAAAAUAUUAUAAUUGAUUUUUUAAAAUUACAUCUUGUUUUUCAAAAUUUUAAAAAUAUUUCUUAAACUUUUUUAAAAACAUUUUUAAUCUGAACACCCUUCUUAAAAUCAUUGAAACCAGACUUUUAAUUAACCUACCAAUCUUCAAAACAAUCUAAGAUGCAGAAUGAUUUUGUGAGUUAAGGUCAAGUGGGCGCUUCAAUAUUUAUCAUGUCUUUAAAAAAACUUCAGGGCCCAAGUCCAGAUUCUCAGAUAUGGAUUCUAACAGUUGCUUCCAAUCAUGUUGGUGAAAUCAAAUGAGUGUCACAGAAAUCGCUAUCAUUGUGGUACUGGAAAAAAAGAAGAGAUUCCUCCACUUGUUCUUGAAAUUUAUCUGCACGCAUGCAAUAAAUCAAUGCUCCAUAAUCUCCUGCACAUGCAAAUUAAAAUCAAAAUCAAGCCAUUGGCCUCUCACAUUACCAUUCUUGGCUAUUUUCUGCUAUGUAUAUAAAGAGUAAUAACCACAUCAUCCAACUUUUGCUCUGGUCGUCAAACUUCCACCACUUCUUUCCUAACCUCCUAACAUCAAAUACAAAAAUGCCACAUCCUUAUUAUUGAAAAUUAAAUUCCCACAAGCUUAUGCCAGAUUUUUUGUUGAUUGGAUAUUCGGUCUCAUAAAAUUCAGUACCGAUCACAAACAUUCGUUAUCCACCCUUGAUAUCGAGUAGGAUAGAGUAUCCAUAUAUGGACUCGGUGCACCAUACCUUCCCUCUAUAAAAGGUUCUAGGGUGGUGAACUAUUUUUAUUUUUCUUCAAACGCAGCCUCGGCUAGUUACUAUAUGGUUUCCAAGCACUAAAAGGAAAAAAGAAAUGGCUCAGAUAGCUAAGAUGGAAGCCCAAGUAGAGAUAAAGUCCCCUUCCAAUAAGUUCUACGAGGUCUUGAGCAGCAAAGCUCAUCUCCUUCCCAAGGCCUGCCCCGACAAAAUCAAGAGCAUCGAAGUGGUUGAAGGUGAUUGGAAGAGUGCGGGCUCUGUCAAGCUCUGGACUUACUGUAUCGGUAAGGCAAUGCUAACCAUUAUUCCCAUGCCACCCUCAAUCAAACAAAAUACAACACUCAGCAUAUGGGCCUUCUUGUUUUUAAUAAUGAUUGCAUUGGAAGGUAAUAACGAAACAAAAGGAAUGACCCUUCCUAUCAUGUAAAUAGCUCCAUCUACCAUGUAAACGUAUUUAUUUAAGGAUUUCAUAGCAUAGGACACUUAGAAGGCAUGUUUUUACUUGAAUGUUUUAAGCGAAAGUGCUUUUCCUAAAAGUACUUUUUUAGAUAUCUUCAAAAACAAUUACAAAUGAUUUUCAAAUAAAAUAAGUGAUUUUUCAAAUAUUUAAAAAUGAUUUCUAAAUUUUACCAAAUGCCUAUCUUUUUUAAAUGCUUUUUAGGUUAAAAAGACUUCUUCAAAUAAUUGUUAAAUGCAUUGUUAGGAAGUGUCUCAAAUUCCUAAUUAGUAUAAAUUUUUUUUUUUGUAAAAAAUAUUAUAUAAAUAACAUUAGACUUCCUCAUAGAAUAAGGAAGGUUGUUAAAAAUAUUUUUAUAAAUAUUAUUGGUUAUGAGAGAAAAAAGUUAUGAGAUGAAAAUGAGUUUGUAAAAGACUAUAUAAGGUAGAUAGAGAUGUGCGAAAGAACGGGAGGUACUUGGUGGAGCGAGAAGACUCAUGGUAGGGUAGAAAUACAAAGAGUAAGGAAACAUGAGAUGUUUCAUAAACUCACUAAUUGUAUUAGUUAUGUUUUCUGUAAUGUUUUGGUUCUGUCAUCUGUAAUAUUUUUUAUUGUAUAGUAAAAUAAUUUUCUCUCAUCUGUGGAUAUAAGCAUGAUUGGUCGAAUUACGCUAAAACCUUAUAUACUAUUUGUGUCAAUUAUUUUAUCUUUGUAUUCUUGAUUAACGAUGUUUGUAUCAAAGCUUCCAUCGACAUAACAUGCACUUUUAUAAAAUACAAAAUUACAAGUUAUAUUUGAGAGGUGUUUUUGAAAAUAAUUUUGUAAAAUAGUUUUUAAAAAUUAUUUUAUAAUAUUUUGGAGAAUAAAAAUUUGUUUAUGUUUUUAAAUUUUUUUAUAUAUUUUAAAAUAUAUUUUUAAAAGUAACUUUUAUUUAUAAUAUUUUAUUUUAAUCAUUUUCAUAUUUGAAUAAACAUUUCUUAAAUCCCUAAAAGAUAAGUUAAAAUAAUUAAAAACAAUUAUAAGAUAUUCUAUGAGAAUAUCAUGUUUUAUAUUUUUAACAAAAAAAAUAUUUUUUGUUUUAUGGUUACUAAAUGCAAUUUUCUAUUUUUUUAGAGAACAUAGAAAAACAAUUGCCAAACAUGUCAUAAAGUUUAGAAACUUAAAAUUUUUUAAAUUUUUUUUUGUAUUUUAAAAUAAAUUUUAUUCUAAUACUUUAUUUUUAAUUAUUUUUUAUAUAUGUAGAGAUAUAUAAAACAUCCAUUGAAAAAUAAGUAAAAAGAAUUUUAAAAAUAUUCUACAAAAAUACUUUGUUUUAUGUUUUUAAUAACAAAAAAAAUGUUUUUUAUUUUCUAAUUUUCAAAGGAAAAAAAACCAAAAAAACAAAUGAAUGAAGAGAGAGAAGAGAGGAAGAUAUUUAAAGGGAGCAAGAGCACAUUUUCAUACACUGAUUAGCCUGUUUCUUUAAAUUUUGUUUUAUUAUUUGAUGGUAACCAUGGAGCUGGGGAUGAUAAUUACUGGACGGUUACCAACCUAAUCAGCCUUUUUCAUUCGAGUUGAGCUACAUCAUAACUUUAUCUAAAUCAAUUUAUAUACGUGUAACAUGUUUGAAAUAGUGAACAGAAACCAUCAUGGAAACCAGUUUUCUACGGUAGUGUAUUGUUUUAAAAUAUUUUAAAAAAAAUCUUAACAUAAAAGAUAAUUUCAAAAUUGUUUUAUUUUAAUAUCCCCUAUUAAAAAAAAGGUUAAUUGGUUAAAGGGAUCAAAAUAACUCUCAUAUUUGGAAAUAUAACCCACCAGUCAAAAAACAAAAAGUUAACCCGAUUGAGACAAAAAUGCCCUUCUUCUUUUAUCUUUCCAAGACACACAACUUCUCCUCUUCUCCUUCAUUUACAGAACGACUCCUCAUAUUUUUCAAAAAAAUUCUCUCAUCAUCUUUUUCUACUUCAUUAUAUUCAUUUGGUGCAUAAAACGGAAAGGUCAUCUCCUCUUCCGCUUCAUUUACAGAACGAGUCCUCAUCUUUUAUCAUCUUCUUCUAUUUUAUUAUCUUCCUUUGAUGUACAAAACGAAAAUAUCAUAUUUCCUUCAAAAACCCUAGAAAUCCUCUGUUUCAUUCUGAAUCCUUGGAAAAAUUAUUAUUCUAUUUUUUUUCAAGUUAUCUCACAUUAUAUCUUCAAGCAUGAAGGAAAUAAUGAGUUCAUUGAAAAGUAAUAGGAGAAAAAGAUUUAAAAAAAUGGCGAAAAGCAAAAAUGUCAAUUGCGAAUAGAAGAAAAAGUGAAGCAAAGGAAAGCGAAGCCAGUGAGCAAAAAUCCCAACUAUUGUGAAACAGUGAUUGUGAACUUAACUGUGAUUAAGUUCUUUGUUAAUGGAACUCAACUACUAUUAUGUUCAGGCGAAAAUUUGGACGAUUAUUAUUAUUUGAUGGUAACCAUGCCAUGGAGCUGGGGAUGAUAAUUACUGGACGGUUACUAAACUAAUCAGCCUUUUUCAUUCAAGUUAAGCUACAUCAUAACUUUAUCUAAAUCAAUUUAUAUACGUGUAGCAUGUUUGAAAUAGUGAACAGAAACCAUUAUGGAAAUCGGUUUUCUACAGUAGUGAAUUGUUUAAAAAUAUUUUUUUUUAAAUCAUAACAUAAAAGAUAAUUUUAAAAUUAUUUUAUUUUAAUAUCCCCUGUUAAAAAGAAUGAAAAUUAUCGUAUUUUUUUGUAUUUAUUUUAUAAAUGAUUAUAUUUUAAUAAUAAUUUUUUAAAAGAACUUUUAUUUUUUAAAAUCCCAUGGAAACUUGUGUCCACUCUAUUGAAGAAGAGACACGCAAGCCCAAAAAGGUUGGGUGGAAGAAGCACCGCAUUGGAAUUAUUGCAAUUUAUUGAGUUGGCUGCCCCUAGGCAUUGACAGUUAAACAAAAAAAAAAAGAAAAAAAUAAAAGAAAAGAUAGAGAGAGAGCGCACUACCAAUAUUGGGGAGGACUGGAGGAGGCCUUGCCUAAUUCACAACCCCCUUCUAUAUAUAAGGGCAAGUUAAUGUAUUUCCUCUCGCCACUGCCUUCUGUUUGAAUCAUUUGUAAUUAGUUUUAUUAAUCCAGCUAGUGUUAUUAUCAGGAAAAACAUGGCUCUAACUGCAGGUAAGUUGGAGAUUGAAACAGAGAUCAAAGCAGUUGCUGAUGAGUUCUUUAAAAUCUUCAGGAGCCAAGCACACCACCUGCCUAAUAUCUGUUCCGAUAAAAUACACAAAAUCUAGGUACAUGAAGGUGACUGGGAGACUCAGGGAUCCGUCAAGCAUUGGAUGUUCAAAUUGAUGAAUGGUAGUUUUUCAUUCAUACUUUCUUUCGUUCAUAUACAGAGUAUAUAUAGAGGGUAAUCACCAUUCUAAGAAUGAGAAAGGAUGAUACAAGGAAAGAAUAAUAUAAGGAAAUAACAACUAAUAUCCUAAUAUCUCAACUUUCCUAAUAUCUCAAUAUUCCUAAUAUCUUAAUAUUCAUAAUAUCUUAACUUUCCUAAUAUCUAAACACUAAAUGAUAUAAGGAAAUAAUGAUAUAAGGAAAACAUUCCUAAUAUCUCAACACUCCCCCUCAAGUUGGUGCAUAGAUGUCACACAUGUCCAACUUGUCUAAAAUUUUUUGAGAAUACUUGACUUGAGACAGCUUUGGUGAGGAUAUCGACUAACCAAUCUUACUUUCCACCUUGGAUCAACUAAGGCUUCUUGCACAUUGUUAGGAAUAACUACAGUAAAUAAUUGAUUUACAAAUGACUUAUUUGAUUCAGACAAACGAUGGUUAGACACAUAGUUGCUCAUGGGAUAUUUGACUUUGGUAGACAAAUCAGGUUCAUAUGUGGGUUUAGGAAUACCAAGAUUAUGACGAUGUGGUAACCGUUUCAUGAAUGGAUCGGGUUCCAAAUUAAGAACACCCUCAACAGACGACGAUUGGUUUGAUAUUUCAGUGAAGACAUCUUCAGACCCAAAUUGUUGACCUCUCAUAUCCAACUCACCCACUUCCUGGUUCACUAGUUCAGAUUGUCCAGAUUCAUUCUCCUUAGAGAUAUGAUAAUCAUAAUCAAGAGUCUGAAUUUCCUUAUGGUACUCCCCCUGAAGUUCAGACUCAGAUGAAAAUUACAUCGAAUCUUCAUGAAACACCACAUCCAUUGUAAUAUACAUUUGUCGAGUUGGAGGAUGGUAACAUCGAUAUCCCUUUUUGUGCAAUGCAUAUCCAACAAACACACAUUGCAAUGCAUGGGAAGUUAACUUAGUGCGUUGGUGCUUGUGUAGAUGCACAAAUGCCACGCAACCAAAAACACGAGGAGGUAGAUUUGGGACGGUUGGGGCAACUACGACAUUAGUAAGAGCUUGGAGAGGUGUUUGAAAGUUAAUUGAGCUAGAAGGUACCCGAUUGAUCAAGUAUACGGCAGAUGUGAUUGCUUCUCCCCAAUAAGAUAUCGGUGUUUUUGCUGCUAUCAAGGAAGCACGAAAAACCUCUAACAAGUGCCGAUUUUUUCGUUCAACGACUCCAUUUUGCUGGGGUGUAUUGGAACAAGUAGUUUGAUGAAUGAUGCCAUGUCCUUCCAAAUACUUUUGAAGAUCAGAACUUUGAUAUUCUCCACCAUUAUCACUACGCAGAACCCGAACCUUUGCAUUGUAUUGAGUUUCAAUCAUUUUAUGAAAUUUUUGAAACAACAAGUUCACUUCAUCUUUGGUCUUCAUCAAGUAUAACCAUGUCAUUCUGGUACAAUCAUCAAUAAAAGUAACAAACCAACGCGAACCACUCAAAGUUGGGACUUUGGAUGGGCCCCAAACAUCAGAAUGUAUAAUCAUAAAAGGAGACGGACUUUUAUUCAAAAUUAAUGGAAAGGAAGCACGAUGGCUUUUAGCCAAUUCACAAAUAUCACAACGGAAACCAGAAAUAUCACUCUUUGCAAACAAACUAGGAAAUAAUUUUUUUAAAUAUCCAAAGGAAGCAUGUCCCAAACGUCGAUGCCACAACCAAAUUUCAGACUUUUUCUUCUCUUCCUCAGAUCCAUCUGCCAUCAAGGCUUGUCGCAACUUAUUUGAAUCAUUUGACUGCAAGUCCAAAUAAUAGAGUUUUCCCCGCUUAAUACCAAAACCAAUCGUCUGUCUUGUUUGGAUGUCCUUAAAAACACAAAAUUCAGGCCAAAAAAUGACAAUACAAGAUAAGACUGCAGUGAUUUGAGAAACUGACAAAAGAUUGUAAUUUAAGGAUGGAACAACUAAAAUAGAAUCCAAAUUCAAAGUAUCAGUAAGAGUUAAGGAUCCUUCCCCAAUGACUGGGGUUGUGUUACCAUUGGCUGUGGAAACAAAUUUUUGUGAGGAAGGUCUAACGGGUGAGACUUGUCUAGAAUCAAAAGUCAUAUGAUCUGUAGCACCAGAAUCAAUUAUCCAUGCAUUAUUAAUAACAGGUGUAGAAGUAUUUAAAAACUUACCACCAUAAUCUGUAGCGGCUAUCAAUGCAGAGGCUUUCUCAUCAACAUUAGCCUCUGUUUUUAUUUCGGCAAUAGCUGCAGUCGAGGUUUUCUUGGAAUUCUUCUUCUGUUGAUCACGAUUGUGAUCCCACCAGUCUGGAUAUCCCACAAUUUCAAAGCAACGACUCUUGGUAUGACCAGUCUUAUUGUAGUGAGUGCAUUUGAAGGUUGACUUAUCAAUAUUAUGGUCUGUCUUAGGAUGAUUGGUCUUGGAUUGGUCCUGCCAAUUUCGGGUUAAUUGUUGUCGGACUACCAUAGCUGAGGUGUCAGGGUUGUCAGAUUCUGCUUUCAUACUAGCAUGACGUAAUGCCUCUCGUUGAAUCAGUGCAUAGCAUUCUUCCAAAUAGGGAAGAGGAUCUUUGCGUAGAAUCUCUCCUCAAACUUGCUCAAAGUCACCACCCAAUCCAGCAAGAAAGAUGUGCACCCGUUGUCGUUCAAUGGAUUUCCGGUAUGCUGCAAUGUCUUCAGGGUCUUUCAUGACUACCUUCUCCCGAUGAUCCAAUUCGCAAAAAAGUUCAAUUAACUCUCCAUAAUAUUCAGAAAGAGACCUGCCGUUUUAUUUGGCAGUGAAGACUUUUUGAUUCAAAGUGAAAACUUGUAAUUCAUCACUUUCAUCAUAGAAGGCCUUUGAUAAUGCACUCAAAAUUUCUUGAGCGGUGGGUAAGCGUAAGUAAUGCUUCAUAAUUUCUGGACUCAUGGACAUUAACAACCAUCUCUUCACCUUUUGAUUCUCAGCAUACCAUUUUUCAUAUCCAUCUUCUGACUCUUUUGGUAGAUUUGUCUUACCUCGGAUGUAGGAAAGUUUUUCCCGUUCGGCAAUAUGCAUCUCCACGAGUUGUGACCAAACGUCAUAGUUUGAUUUAGUCAAAAUAAUUCCUGAAUUGAAAGUACCUUCAGAUUGAAAAACAAUAAUACUUUUUUCACUCAUUUUUUUUUUCUCUCGCAAAGAAGGGGCAAUUGUUGGCCUUACAACAAAAUAUCCAGGAUUUCAGGAACCUAGCUCUGAUACCAUGUUCAAAUUGAUGAAUGAUAGUUUUUCAUUCAUACUUUCUUUCGUUCAUGUACAGAGUAUAUAUAGAGGGUAAUCACCAUUCUAAGAAUGGGAAAGGAUGAUACAAGGAAAGAAUAAUAUAAGGAAAUAACAACUAAUAUCCUAAUAUCUCAACUUUCCUAAUAUCUCAAUAUUCCUAAUAUUUCAAUAUUCAUAAUAUCUUAACUUUCCUAAUAUCUAAACACUAAAUGAUAUAAGGAAAUAAUGAUAUAAGGAAAGCAUUCCUAAUAUCUCAACAUUGGAGUUACACCAUUGGUAUAACAUGCAACUCAAACUCAGAACUCCAAAACACUAGCUGGCAUUAUAUUCUGCUAAAAUAUUUUUUGAUGUUUAUCUUUCAUUUCAUUGUUGUUUUCUUCACCUCUCAAAUUUUCUUUUAUAAUAAAUGCAUGCCUCUUUGUACUUUUUUUUUUCUUGCAAAGAAGUGACUAUAAUCGAUGGUUCUUAGUAAUGUAUAUGGCAUCUAAUAAUAGCUUUAACAUAUUCCAAUUAUGUUUAACCUCACAUUUUGGUUUGAACUAGGAGGGAAUUCUAAGAGUAUUAAGGAGACUGUGGAAUCAAAAGAUGAAGAGAACAGGUCCAUCACGUUCAAGGUUUUGGAUGGGGAGCUGUUGAACGACUACAAGAGCUACAAGUUCACCACACAAGCGAUACCAAAGGGGGAGGGCUGCUUGGUGAAAUGGACCGCUGAAUAUGAGAAGGCAAGUGAGGAUGGAUCAGAUCCCCGUGGCUACCUGGAGCUUGCAGUUAAUAUCACCAAAGAUAUCGAAAGUCACCUUCUCAAUGCAUAACGCCAAGACCAUAUGUACCGUUUGCUAGUAUUUCUCUCUUAAAUAAAGUUUGGAACUUGGAUGUGCAUCUAUGUACUAUCUCGACCUUUUAAUAAACGCAAAUUCCAGCUGUACUGGAGUUGGUGACUAAUGCCGAGAAGACAAACUAGGUUCCCGAUCCUCAGUUAUUUAUGCAAUAAUAUUAAUUAGUGCAUGCGUGUGAUUAGUUGUAUGGUUCUGGGAGUUGCUUUGUGAUUGUUAAUCGGUGUCUUUUGUAGUGGGAUUAUUACAUGCAUGUAAUGUGAAGAACAUAUGAUCCAUGAGGAAAUAAAUUAAAUGAAAAUUACCCAGGCUCCAUCAUGAGGAGCCUUUGAGCAUGCCCACAAGCCUACGUUCCUGCAUUCAAGUCACAUAUGUGAAAAUUCCACUUUGCACAUAAUCUAAAUAAUUUAUCUAAAAAUCUAAGAAGUAAUCUCUCUCUCCAUCUAUGUCUCUCUCUCCCCAUCUAUAUGUACCUCAAAUGAAGAGGUAAGGUAAUGUAAAAUCCCCACCUCAAAUUUAGGGAUAUUUAUAUAAUUUGAAAAUUUUAAAAAGACCUACAUUAAUUUUGUAAAUAUUUAUGUAAUCAACUUUCUCAGAUUAAUUAAAUAAAAAAUUGACCAAGAUGAUUAAAAAUGCAAAUUUGAUGAGGACAUGAAGUAAAAAGUGGUAGGGUUUAAGGACAAUGGCUUCUACUGAAUUUUGGUGAGGUGGUGAUACAAUGAGGAAAAUAGAUUAAUAAAGUUUAUCCAUGGAAAUAGAAAAUAGAAAACAAAAAAUAUAAAAUAAUAAUAAUAUUCAUGUUAAUCAUUUAAUAAAUAUAAUAAAUGCAAUUAUAUAUGCUAAGUGAAAAUAACAAUAUUAUUAUUAUUAUUAUUAAUGCUUAUGAUAGGUGAGAAUUAAGUCUUUUAGAAAUUUGAGUAAUUUUUUCAAGGUAAAGCUUAUAGUUCAUUAAGUCAUUUUAUAAUUCCUUAUAUAUUUUUUUAUUGAUUUUUAAAGUAUCAAAAUGUGUAAAUUCUUUAAAGUGGAUCAAAUAGUUUUUUUUUUUUUUGAAAUAUUUUGUGAUUUGUUUGGUUGUUAUGAAAGUGAAUUUUAUUACUUAAUUUAUUAUAAUGAUUUUAAAACUCUAGUUAUUAGUGGUUUUAGUCAACAAGGAUAAGUUAUUAACCUUCUUUACCUUUGGUCAGUGAAGGGAUGUAGUAUAACACUAGCCAAUAAAUGUGUCAUUGGUCUUGUAUACUAUUGAUUAGAAAUUGUUAUGUCCACCAAUGAGAGUAUUAAAGUGAGGUGAGCCACCUAAUGUAAGUCCCAAUAUUUGGGCACAACGUUAUUAUUAAUUAAUAAACAAAAAUAAAUAGUUUAUUUAUAAAAAUUUUUUUCUAAAUAUAAAUUGAGUAUGCAAAUUGUAUUUUUUAAUUCUAUCUUUAAAUUUAAAGUGUUUAAUCUUUUGAAGAAAGUGAAUUUAAUUUUUUGAAGAAAGUGAAUUUAAUUUUUGAAUUAAAUAAAUUAACCUGAUAAUUGAUUUUUAUAAAAAUUUGAUAUCUCUUAGAAUUUAAUUCUCUACAAUAUAUACCUGAUUUUUUUCAUUGAACUAUUUUUUCUUAUUGAACCAUUGAAGUCACCCUUCUUUAUUAUUCCCCUUUUCAUAUACAAAUGGUAUAAGUGAGAAGGGAUUACGGGAGGAGAAAUGUUUCUAUUAUAAACAACUUUGGAAUUGAAUUAUGUUGGAUUGUGAAACGUGAAUCGGUUUAAUUUAUUGUAUUUUGCAAGGAAUGCUAGAGGUCGAGUGUCUAAUUGAGCUUGCGGGGAUCAAGAGUCUUGAUCGGUUCGUUGGGACUUGGGAUUGAGUUGUCCAAUCAGCUCAUGGGGUUAAAGGAAUAUCCUUCGAUUUUUUUUAAUACGAUGAAUAACGAGUUUGUCCUAAUUGUAUAUUUAAUCUUAUUAUAAUUUAAAGUUUCUUUUUAGAGAGUGUGUGACUGCAAUCGAAAGGAUAAUGAGUGUUUAGUACUCGUCUUAUUUUUUUCUGAACCAAAUUAAAAAUCUAUUGUUUUUCUUUAUUUUCUAAUCGUGUGUGCAUGAUUUGAUCAACAAAUUAUUUAUAGGAUUGUUUACUUAAAUUUGAUUGUAAUUUAUUUAAGUUUUUAGGAGAAUCAUUAAAUUUAUUAUUACAAUAUUUUAUUAGUUUUGAAUUUGUUAUUUAAAGUGAUUCAUUUACUUGGUUCAAAGGUUUGACAUAUAAAGUCACCGUGGUUCCCUUGGUGUCGCGGGUGAUUUUGUAAGUGCCUUCGGACUACAGAAUAUUAAUUAACCUACCAAUCUUCAAUGUAAUCUAAGAUGCAGAAAGAUCUUGUGGGUUAAGGUCAAGUGGGCGCUUCAAUAUUUAUCAUGUCUUCAAAAAAAACUUCAGGGCCCCAGUCCAGAUUCUCAGAUAUGGAUUCUAACAGUUGCUACCAAUCACGGGGGUGAAAACAAAUCAGUGUCGCAGAAAUCGCUAUCAAUGUGGUACUGGAAAAAAAAGAAGAGAUUCCUCCACUUGUUCUUGAAAUUUAUCUGAACGCAUGCAAUAAAUCAAUGCUCCAUAAUCUCCUGCACAUGCAAAUUAAAAUCAAAAUCAGGCCAUUGGCCUCUCACAUUACCAUUCUUGGCCGUUUUCUGGUGUGCAUAUAAAGAGUAAUAACCACACCAUCCAUCUUUUACUCUGGUUGUCACACUCCCACCACUCUCCCACCACUUCUUCCCUAAUCUCCUAACAUCAAAUACAAAAAUGCCACAUCCUUAUUAUUGAAAAUUAAAUUCCCAUACAUAUAAAUCUUAUGCCAGAUUUUUUGUUGAUUGGAUGAUAUUCGGCCAUAUAAAAUUCAGUAUCAAUCACAAACAUUCGUUAUCCAAUCUUGAUACCGAAGAGGAUAGAGUAUCAAUCCAUCUAUGGGCCCGGUGCACCAGGCCUUCCGCCUAUAAAAGUUUUCUAGGGUGGUGAACUAUAUUCUUCAAACACAGCCUUGGCUAGUUACUAUCUGGUUUCCAAAGAAAGAAGAAAUGGCUCAGAUAGAUAAGAUGGAAACCCAUGUAGAGAAAAAGUCCCCUGCCAAUGAGUUCUACGAGGUCUUCAGCAGCAAAGCUCAUCUCAUUCCCAAGGCCUGCCCUGACAAAAUCAAGAGCAUCGAAGUGGUUGAAGGUGAUUGGAAGAGUGUGGGCUCUGUCAAGCUCUGGACUUACUGUAUCGGUAAGGCAACGCUAACCAUUAUUCCCAUGCCACCCUCAAUCAAACAAAAUAAUACACUCAGCACAUGGACCUUCUUGUUUUUAAUUAUUAUUGCUGUGGAAGAUAAUAAUAACAAAACAAAGGGAAUGACCCCUUCUGAUACGGGUGCCUCCUCAUAUUAGUUUUUUGAAGUUCUCCAUGCAAACUAAAGUAGAAAUCAAUCUUUAGGCACAUCCCUUAUCUGAGCUUCACAUGACCUUAGUUUCAUUUUAAAUUAACCUGCAGGAGGAAAUACUUCGUCUAGCAAGGAGAGGGUGGAAAAGAAAGACGAUAAGAACAAGUCCAUCACUUUCAAGGCUCUGGAUGGAGAGGUCAUGAAGGAUUUCAAGAGCGUCAUCUCCAUCCUUGAAGUGAGUGCAAAGGAUGACGGCAGCCUGGUGAAAUGGACUUUGGAAUAUGAGAAGUCAAAUGAGAAACUCCUACCUCCAGAUGCUUACCUCAGCCUUGUAAUUAGUAUGAGUAAAGAAAUCGACGCUUACCUUCUCAAGGCAUAAGCCGCAUAACAAGCCCUAUAUCCUUGACUUGAUAUGAAAGCAUCCUAGCCUGGGUCCUCCUGGGAAUAACGGAGUUGCUAUGCGUACCUCCAUAUUAUAUUAUCGACACCUACUGGCUACUGCUGUACUCCAUGUAACUUCUUGCUGUACUUAAUUAUAUGAGCUUCCUGAAUUAAUGUUGGAAUGAUAAAUCAAGCUUUAUGGUAGAAUCAAAUGAUUGCUCUAUCAUGGAAUAAAUUUCGCAAUAAAAAUAAAUAUUAGAGGAGAGUUAUGAAACGAAGCUUUUUUUUCUGCAUCAAAUUAACUUUUCAUACACUGUUUUUAAAACAAAUCAACAUACAAUGAUCUUAUGUUGUACCUUUUCCGUUGCAGAUUGCUUUUAAAAAUGUUCUCCCCACAGGCACUUCUAUGGUAUCUUUUCAAAAUUGCUAUUAUAUAUGUUUAAUUAACCAUUCAUUUUGGUCUAAAGCUAGGACGAACUUCUAAGACUGCCACGGAGACUCUGGAAAUCAACAGAUGAAGAAAAAAAUAAAAUAUAUCCAUGACUUCCAAGGUUUUGGAAGCAGAGGUCAUGAAUCAUUUCAAGAAGAUUCAAGUCAUCCAUGCAAGUAACAGCAAAGGAUAAGCGCAGCUAGGUGAAAUGGAGACUGGAUAUUGAGGGUCACUAUCUCAGAUUCUCAAGGCAUAGCAUUAAAAACAUAUCCUUUAAUUGGUAGUAUAAUCUCAAACUUGUAUGUAAAGACCAGACCGUGGAAGUGCAUAUAUGCAUUUUAUUCUUCAAUAAGCGCAGGCUUAGGGGGUAGUUCAAUAACCUCUGGGCUUAGUCAAUCCCGAGAAGAUAUUAAUAAAUUUCCCUGGAUUAUUCCUCUCAUGAAUAUCAGUGCCUGUAAUUUGGUUGUGUGCUAACGGGAGUUGCCUCUUGCGAUCGGUUGGGUUCUUUAAUAAACGCAUUAUUAGGUAUGAAUGAUCAGGAAAUUGAUAAGUAAAAAACAAUUUAAUUAUUUCACUUAAGUCAUAAACCAUUAUGAGGAGCCUUGGAAUAUAUGCAUGAGUCUAGAUUCUCGCAGCCACUAAUCACGUAGUCAAAAUUGGCCAGUCGCAAACAUUCCAAUCAUUCUUUAUGAUAAGAAAGAAGAGUUCACUCUUCUUUUUCUCGAGUUUUUUAUUUGGAGAGAGCAAUUUAUCAGCCUCACAUUUUGAGACCUUUCUUGGCACAUCACUUUCAGAAUCUGAUUUCCUAGCUCCACUAUAGAAGUAAAGCCAGUUGGGUAUCACAUUCUUGUUUUAUGUCUCCUUGAGUGGGUCGGGUGUAUAUAAAAAUUUGCCAGUUGAAGAUUUUCUUUGUUAUGCUAGUCUUUCUUUUUCUAACCUCCUGAUAUCAAAUGGGAAAAUGCCAUAUCGUUACUGGACAAUUGACCCAUAAUGGAGAGACUUUUGUUGGUUGGACUUGGGCUUUUAUAUAACUCAGCAACUAUCAUAAUUAUAGGAGAAAUUUGAAGUAACCAUAUUGAUUUGGGUCUACCAAGAAGCAAGGUGAAUCGUAACAUAUCAUGCAUAUAACUUGAUUCAAUUAUUUUAUAUUCUACUUGUUUCUUAUGUAUUUUUACUUUUAUCAAAUAGUUUAGAUAUCAUUACCAAAUAUUCUCCUGACAUUUUCCUAUUAUUUCUGUAAGAUGCUAUAAUCUACACCCAAAGUAGUGGACCACUUACACUUUAUUAUGUACUAACCACGAUCAUAACUUACAUUCUCCACCUUGGCCUCUCUCUUAUCCCAAAAAGUAAAGACUCAGGGUUCGUAUCCCUUCCCUUCUGUCUAUAUAGGUCUAAGAGUAGUCAAGUGUUUCCUUCAAUAGCCUUCAUAUUCUUGGCAGUAACUAGGUACUUGGUUUUCAAACACAACAAAAAUAAUGGCUCAAAUUGCCAAGAUGGAGGUCCAAGCAGAGAUCAAGUCCCCUGCCAGUAAGUUCCACGAGGUCUGUAGCCGUAAAGUUUAUCUCGUACCCAAGGCUUGCCCUGAAAAAAUUAAGAGCAUUGAAGUAGUUGAAGGUGACUGGAAGACUGUGGGCUCUGUCCAGCUUUGGACUUAUUUCAUCGGUAAGGCAAAAUCCAUCAUUCCACGCCUCCCCCAACAAACACAAGGACACAGAGCUCAAUUGUACUUCUAUUAUUAUUACUAUUAUUAGGAAAUAAUGAUAAUCUAAUGGUAAUGUGACUCUACUCAUGCCGAUAUAAACCCCGUAAUCUUGAUCUCAAAUUGCUAUCAAACAAAAGAAUAUCAAAUAAAGGUAAAGUGUGUCCCCUAUAUUUAUACGUAGAUAGAUGAGUUCUAAGCUUAGCACCAUGUUUUCCAUUUGAAAAACAGGAGGAAAUACCGAAGAGGCUAAGUUGGUGGUUGAAAGGGUAGACGAGGAAAACAAAACGGUCACUAUGAACGUUGUGGAAGGAGAUAUCGUGAAGUAUUUCAAGAUCUUCAAGUGCACUAUUCAAGUAACCGUAAAGGAUAAGGGCAGCUUGGUGACAUGGAGUGUGGAAUAUGAGAAGCUAAAUGAGAGUGGCCCCGCUCCAGAUGCUUACCUCAACUUUGCAAUGGGUAUCGUUGAGAACGUGGAUGCUUACCUUCUCAAGGCAUGACAACAAAGGCGUAUUCAUGAGUCAUGACAUGGUAUGAAGCACUGGUACAACAAAAACUUGGGAAUAAUGUACCACACGCCAUGUCCUCAACUUCUACUGGUCAUCGCUAUAAUAUUAAAAGUAACUUCUUAUUCUACUUAUAUACCUUCCAAGUACUUUGUGUCUUGAAUGUUAUUAUCUAAAAAUAAAAAUAGAAAAUCUCGAAGAAGAGCAUUGUCCUUCGACACUUUUCUUUCUUUCUUUCUUUCUUCACUGCUGAGAAUCUCAACGUACGACUACCAUUUGCAUUAUGGACCCAUGACUGCCAUCCUUUGACCACAUUUGUUGCCCUCCCACCAAACUCCUACGCGUCAAAAUUUCUAUUGUUGCUUGAACAAUAUUUUCAUUUGAAAAACAAGGAAACGAUUUAAAAAUUCUUAUCUCAUGUCUAGUUACCCCGGUCGACCAUAUAAAGUACCACUUGAUCACUCUAGUCUCCUUUGCUAGCCCAUGGGCAAUGCAAUACCCAGCAGGUCCCAGUAACCAACUCUAUGUUCCUCCGAAAAUGAAACAAAUCAGGUCGUUUCAGGGAUGCAUUUGAUCUCACCCUUUUGUUUUGUGUCCGUUAUUUUUUAUUUUAAUAUCACAUGUUUAUAUUUUAAUCUCAUUCUUUACACCUGGAUUUGCUGAUAAAGGCAACUUUCUUUUUGAGCUUUGAUCGAGAUUUUUAUGAAAUUCCUGUGAUAUUACCGUCCUGCUCCUGCUUAAGAAUGUAACUUUGAUUUUGCUUUUAGUGAAGUCUUUAGGUGUUGUUUAUUCCCCAAAAUCUUUUGAUGUUUCUGAAAUUGCUUCAGUGGACUUUGAGAGGUUGCAGGUACCUCUUUUCUCCUGAAAUAGAAUUUGUUUCAGUGGAGCAAGACAACAGGAUGAGCAAAAAAUAGAACCAAUUUUAUUGAUAUAUAUCAGGUUUUUGAGACGUUGAAGAACAUUUCUAACAACUUUUUUUGAUGGGUGACCAAGCCUAUUAUGCCACAAUGCAUAUACAGAACAAGAAGAAAAAGAAGCAGGUGUUGGAACUACAGAAGAAUUGUAUACUAAGGGUUGUGUUGACAUACUGACAUAUGACUUAUGAGGAGUUGAGGGAGAGAAGCUGCCACUGAUUAUUAAUGAGAUCAAUUUGAGACUGAUAAAAAACAUAAAGACCAUCUUUAGGCCUACCCCUCCAGUAGCACUGUUUUGAAGUGAAAUUCAAAGAAGACAUUCUUUUGGGCAAAUUUUGACACACUGAGAAGGUUCUAAUUAGCAAUUUCAGGGACAUGAAGUGUUUUAAAGAGUAAUUUCAGCAAACAUAACUUCAACUUUACAUCCACCUGACCUCAUUAUUUCAGUUUGACAAGAGGGCUUAAUUAUAUCAGUAUGACUGCUAAGAAGACUUUGGAAUAUUAUAAAACGAGUCCAUCAAGUUCAAGGUUUGGAAUGGAAAGAUCAUGAGUAAUUUCACUACUUUUAAGCUGAAUAUGAGAAGGUAAAUGAGGAUGUCCCAGACCCAAUGCUUACUAAAUCAUUGAAGGUCACCUUCUUGAGGCAUAAUUCCAAUUCUUUUCAUCGAUGCUUCUUAGAUGUUAUAAAACAAUACUAUGAAAAUGAAAACGUAAUGUAAUUUUGUCAAAGCCUUUUCCUUAUUGAAGACUCUGGACUGAUUGCGUGGGUGCGCAACACCCACCAUAAUUCCCACACCAACGCCCAACUAACCAAAUCACGUAAGGCCUCACAUGGCCUCAUUAUUAUUUCUGUUGAAAGAUAAUACUAUAUUACAUACGAGAUGGCCAUUCUACCAGCCACCUGUAAAGUUGGUGAUAAAUUGAUACUAAAAAUAGAAGGAAAAUUAAGUUGAAAUUAAGGGUGUCUAUUUAAAUUUAAUUAUUCCCUAGAUAUGAUCUUUUGAUAUGAUUUGAACCCGUUAAUCAUUUAUUUUUAUAUAAAGAGACAAAAAUUCAAUUGUAUAAUCCAGGAUGAGUCACUUGGCCGGGUUUUCGACGACAGCUAAAUCAACCUUCAUUUAGUAAUGAUUGCCCAUGAAAUAAAUUAUCAUGUCUCCUCACAAUAUAAUAAACUAAUAAAAAAUAAAAGAAGAUCACAAAGAAAAGCAUCUUAGUGGAAGUUUUUUUUUUUUUUUUUUUCUUUCAUUUGUUGGUGGUGACACUCCGUGAAAUGUGAUCAACUAGCAUUUGAAUUACACAACCUAAUGCAAAUGAUAAAAAGCAUAAAUUACUUUAGAGUGUUUAGAAUUUGGAAGACUCUAGCUAGGAUGAUAUGGCAUGGGUCUGUGGCCGACAACCACCAAACCCAACGCUAAAUAAUUAUUAUUGAACCAUCAUCAUCAGUAUAAGCAACAUCAAACCUCUCCAUGUUAAACUGUACAUUUUAUUUCAUCCGGAUCUAAUAUCUAAUUAUAAAUGAUUAUGUAUGAGAUUGCAAUCCUUUGCUUAACUCUUUGAAAAUCUAAUUAUAAAUAUUUGGAAUAUCGAUUUCAUCUCUACCAUUAAAAGCAUAUGAAAAAAAUAUCUUGGUCUUUGAAUAAAAGUAAGUAUAAAUAAUUAGACUAGGGUACCAAAUGAUGAAAUCAAAUAUAAAUGAAUUAUAACCAUCAAAUUUCUAUUUUUCAUUAUUAAAUCAUUGGGCGCUCCAAUUUUUACAUGAUGUAUAACUAUUGACGGAAAUGUUAAUUAGGGAUGGCAACGGGGCUGGUUUUUUCGGGUACCCGCCCCCCCCUCCCCCCCCCCCGCCCCUAAUGGGACGGGGUUGAAAUUUAAUAAACGGGUUUUUAACGGGUAUGAGAUUUUUUUUUAAAACCAGGGGCGGGUUCGGGACGGGUUCGGGACGAGUUCGGGUAUUGCCCCAUUCCGCCCCGCCCCGCCCUGUUUACAUAUAAAAUCAAUUUUAAAAUUAAUUUUAUUUUACUAUUUUUAAUAUAUAGAUAAUAAUAAAAAAAUUAAUAAAAUAAGUUAUAAAAAAUAUAAUAAUUUUAUUAUUUAUAAAUAUAUUUAUUUUAAUGUAAUUAAAAAUUUUAAAAGUAAAUUUUUUUUUUUAUAAAAAAAAGGAGGCUAAACGGGGCGGGACGGGGAUGAGAAUUAUUUUUAAUAAACGGGGCGGGGUUGGGAUGGGGGCAACCCGUCCCGAACCCGCCCUGUUGUCAUUCCUAAUGUUAAUAUAAGGAUAUAAUAAUGGGUAAAAUUAGUUGAAAGUGUUUUUUUUAUGACAUAAAAUAAUUUUUCAAAUUUUAAUUUCUAUUUACUUUGUCUUCCCUUGUCAUGUAUCUUUGUAAUUUUCCGAUUUGUUUAUCAAAACAAUAAAUGAUGUCAUGUUAUGAUUUCUCUUUUUGUCUUCCUUUUUAAUUGACGUGUUUAUUGGAAUAAUAUAUUAUGUUAGACAAAAUAACACAUACCUCCACUGCCCAAAUCCCCUCCGUGACAAUGAACCCCAUCUUUAAGCAUUAUUAUAAAAUUAAGCAUAAAGUUAUUACAAGUUUCUUCCAUUUCACAUGCCUUUCCCAUAGAUUGAGUGGUGGAGAUGAUCAUUCUUGAACGAUUUAUAAUUUUAAUGAAUUCUGUCUAUUCUCAUAUCUUUUAAGAGGGAAUUCAAAUCAACUUAUCUUAUUUUCUCAACGCUACUUAACUUCCACGGCUUCAAAUUUACAUGAUCAUAUCAUUAUCAAUAACUUCGGCAUAACUAUUCAAAUUUUAAUAAGAACUUCAAAUCAUUGUUACCUUUAUUGCCUUAAAAAUCUUUUUCUUUGUCAAUGAUCCCUGCACGAUUAUUAAAUAAUAGGAUUGUUAUUGUCAUAUUAACUAAUUUUGAUAAUAUAGUCAUCGUCACGGCUGAGUGCCGUUUUCUUGGGAGAUUUUUCAUAAAUUUAAAUCAAUACCAGUUAUAGGAAAUGCGUCACAAAUUAGGAAGAUAUCGAGCUGGAAGCAGAUGAUAUAUAAUUCAUUAUUUUCUUCCUUAUUGAAGCUUGACAAACCAAUCCAAAUGCAUUAACGUGAGAAGCAAGGUUUUAUGCUCAUUUUCAAUGAACCUUGUCAACAUGCACGUCAAAAACAAUGAUUUAUUAACUACGUACAUGUAGAACUGCAUGGGAAAAAAAAAAUACAAUUAAGGCAUUGGGAUAUGAAUAAAACGCUUAACUUAAAAUUCAAAAUUCUCAAAACUACGUUUUUCACACCAAAAUGUUUCAUCCAGCCAACCUAAGACCGAGUGAAUCCUCCCUCUAAAGCACAUUGCCCAAGACUACAGGCAACGUAGUAAUUACCUAAGCAAAUACGUCAGAAUCAUACCAAUUUUUACCAAAGUGGGUAUCGGGAAGGAGCUUUGCCUAAUUCAUCCUUCUAUAUAUAAGGACAAGGUUAUCUACUUCUUCUCAUCACUGCCUUCUGUUUGAAUAUUUUGUAGUUAGUUUUAUCAAUCCAGCUAGUGUUAUUAUCAGAAAAACAUGGCUCUAACUGGUAAGUUGGAGACUGAAACAGAGAUCAAAGCACCUGCUGAUAAGUUCUUUAAAAUCUUCAGGAGCCAAGCACACCACCUUCCUAAUAUCUGCUCCGAUAAAAUACACAAAAUCGAGGUACAUGAAGGUGACUGGGAGACUCAGGGCUCCGUCAAGCAUUGGAGUUUGACCGUUGGUAAGGCAUCUCAAACUAAGAACCACAAAACACUAGCGUUAUAUUCUGUUAAUUAAAAUAAGUUAUUAUGUUUUUGUUUCAUUUCAUUGUUGUUUUCUUCACCUUUCAAUUAUUCUAUUAGAAUAAAAGCAUGCCUCUUUGUACAAUUUUUUUCUUGCAAAGAAGUGAUCGAGUCUGGGCCGCUAGUGACUAUGAUGGUUCUUAGGAAUGUACAUGACAUCUAAUAAUAGCUUCAACAUAUUCCAAUUAUGUUUAACCUCACAUUUUGGUUUCAACUAGGAGAGAAUUCUGAGAGUAUUAAAGAGACUGUGGAUCAAAUAGAUGAAGAAAACAGGUCCAUCACAUUCAAGGUUUUGGAUGGGGAGGUGCUGAAAGACUACAAGAGCUACAAGUUCACCACACAAGCGAUACCAAAGGGGGAGGGCUGCUUGGUGAUAUGGACCAUCGAAUAUGAGAAGGCAAGUGAGGGUGGCCCAGAUCCCCAUAACUGCCUAGAGUUUUCAGUUAAUAUCACCAAAGAUAUCGAAAGUCACCUUCUCAAUGCGUAACACCAAGGCCAUAUCCACCCUUUGCUAGUAUCUUGCUCGUAAAUAAAGUUUGGAACUUGGAAGUCCAUCUAUCUCUAUCUUUCAAUAAACGCAAAUUCCAGGUGUGGACUUGGUGAUUAGUGCCGAGAAGAUAAACUAGGUUUGCCUUGGUUAUUUGUGCAAUAAUAUUAGUGCAUGAGUGGGAUUGAUUGUAUGCUAUCUUGUCCGGGAGUUGCUUUGUGUCUUUUGUAAUGGGAUUACUACAUGUAAUGUGAAGACUAUAUGAUGCAUGGGGAAAUAAAUUAAGCGAAAACUUCCAUGGGCUCCAUCAUGAGGAGCCUUUGAGUAAGUCCACAAGCCUACAUUCUUGCAUUCUAGUCACAUGUGUCAAAAUAAGUCUCUACAAAUUAAAGUCUUAUUGUCAAAAUCCCACUUUACACAUAAUCUAAAUAAUUUAGCUAAAAUCUAAUAAGUAUGUCUCUCUUUAUAUGUACUUACCAUCCCAACUUUUAAAUUUAGGGAUAUCUAUGUAAUUUAGAUUUUAAAAAGAAAAUUUUAGGGAUAUUUACAAAGAUAAAUGAAAUAUUUUUGGUUCCGAUAACCAUUAUUUUUAUCUCAUUUUGGUUUCUUUGCGUUAUAAAAAAAAUGGUUUGUAGAGAUAAACUAGAGAAAAAAAAAAAUUAUACAAUGGUUUGUAGAGAAAUUUGAUUCGAAAAGUUAGAAAAGAUGAUUUGUUUUUUGCAUUUGCUUCAUUCUAAAAUUCAAUCACUAUCUUUUAUCUCAUUUUGGUUUCCCCACAUUAUCAAAAAAUGAAGGAUAAAAAUAAACUGGGGAAAAAAUUAUACAAAGGUCUCCGAGAACUUUGAUUUGAAGAGUUAGAAAAGAAGAAUUUUUUUGCAUUUGUUUCAUUUUAAAAUUCAAGGUUUUUGGAUUUCUAUUAUAUAUUAAUUAUGAGGAUAGUAGAAUAAUAAUAAUAAUAAACAAAAACUAGUUAUUAGUGACCUUGAUCAAUAGAGUAUAAGUUGUUGACCUUUAUUAUCUUUGUUAGAAGUAGUUAACGAUGCAAUGUAACCUUAGCCAAUAAAGAUGUUUUGAUAUACAUUGAUUGAAAAAUGUCCUUUUAAAACUAGUUAUUAUUGACCUUGGUCAACACAGAGGAUAAGUUGUUGACCUUUAUUACCCUUGUUAGGAGUAGUGAACGGUGUAGUAUAACCUUAGUCAUUAAGGAUGUUAUUAGCCUUUUGCUAUAUCAUUGAUUGAAAGUUGUCCUAUCCACCAAUAAGGAGAAUGAAGGCUAGCCACCAAGUACUAGUUUUAGUAUUUUGGCACAAUAUUAUUACUAGUGAGUCAAAGUGAAAUAUUUGUUGAUAAAACUUUUUUAAUAUGAAUUGAGUAAGCAAAAUAUAUUAUUUAAUUCUAUCAUUAAAUUGGAAGUGUUUAAAUUUUCAAAAACAAUUAUUUUAAUUAUUGAAUCAAAUGAGCUUACAUGUUAAUAGACUUUUAUAAAGAUGUGGUAUCUUCCGAAAUUUUAUUAUAUAUAAUAAUUGAUCUUCCUUAUACUAACUUUUAUCAUUGAGCCAUCGAGUUCACUUUUCUCUGUUAUUCUCCAUUUCAAUUAUAAAUGAUAUAAAGAGGGAUGAGGUAAGAAAAAUAUUUCUAUUAGAGACAGCUUUGGAAUUGAUUUAUUUUAGGAUUAUUUACUAGACUGAAUUCAUUUAUAAUUUCUAAAUUUCUUUUUGAAGAAUUUGAGAAAAUUAAAUUAAUUAUUGAGAGAUUUUAAUUAGUUUUAAAUUUGUUACUUAAAGUCGUUCACAUGUUGGAUUCUAAUAUUUGAUACGUGAAACUAGCAUGAAGGGCUUGACCUCCGGGUUUGGGGCGUCGCAGCUGACUUUAGAUUACAGAAUUAUUAAUCAACCUACCAAUCUUCAAAGCAAUCUAGGAUGCAAUAUGGUUUUGUGAUUUAAGAUCAAGUGGACGCUUCAUUUAUUAUGUCUUCAAAAAAACAUUUUGGGCCUCAAUUCGAGAUUAUCAGAUAUGGAUUCUAACAGUUGCUUCCAAUCAAAUCAGUGUCACAGAAAUCGCUACCAUUGUGGUACCUGAAAAAAAAAAAAAGAGACUCCUUCCCUUAAUAUUGAAAUUUAUCUGAAGCUAUGCAGUAAAUAAAUGCCCCAUUUUGUGCGUCAUAAUGGGGGAUCACAUUCAGAAUCUUCUGCACAUGCAAAUUAAAAUCAAAAUCAAGCCAUUGGCCUAUCACAUUACCAUUUUUGGCCCUUUUGUUUUGUUGUUUUUUUCUUUUUUUGGCGUGUAUAUAAAAAGCAACCACAUUAUCCAACUUUUAUUGAAAACACCAUAUUAUCAGAUACAAAAACGCCACAUCAUUAUUAUUGAAAAUUAAAUUCCCAUAUAUAGAAAGCCACAUAAAAUUCAGUGCCAAUCACAAACAUUCGUUGAUAUUCACUAGGAUAGAGAUAGAGUGCCCAUAUAUGGACAGUGCACCAUACCCGCCGUGAAGUGAUUGGAAGAGUGUGGACUAUGUCAAGCUCCGGACUUAUUUGUAUAGGUAAGGCAACGCUAACCAUUAUUAUUCCCAUGCCACCCUCAAUCAAGCACAGUCAUACACUCGGCACAUGGCACUUCUUGUUUUUAAUUAUUAUCAUAGUGAACAAUGUUUUCAUAAUCGGAUCGAUCAUCGAACCGAAAAAGUUAUCGAUUUACAGUCCAUUAGUCGAACCGACGGUCGAACCAAUAACAUCAUAAAUAUGUAAUUUAUAUAUUAUUAAAAUUAAAAAUAAUUAUACAAAUUUUAAAAUAUAUAUGAAUAAAUUAAAAAUCAAUAAUAUUAUUUUGUAUCUUUAAUAUUAUCAAAUUAAAUCAUAUUAAUAUUUUAAAUUUUAUUGAAUGAAAUAUAUAUAAUAUUUAAAUAUGAAUAUAUUAAAAAUGAAAAUUUAAUUAAACUAAUUUUAUAAUUUUUAAAAAUAUUAUAUUAUUUUUAUUUAAUAUUAUAAAAAAAUUUAAAAUCCAAUAUAUAUUAUUUUGUUUGGCAUAUUAAAUAAUAAAAGAUGUAUAGCCGAGUGGUCCUAGGUUGGUUAUAGACCUUGAGGUCCAAGUUCAAAUCCUUUGGUGGAUUUGUUAAUUUUUUUUUUCAUUGAUUAGGUUAGUUAGCAAUCCCACACUAAGAGGAAUAAGGAUGCUUAUAAAAGCUAGCCUCAUUAUGGGCAAAGGCAUCACCUCAUCUGGUGGGCUUAAGACUCAGCCCAUAAAAUGGUUGGGUGCGGUGUGGGCUUUGUCACAUUAAGACAGGGCCCAUCAUGGGCUUUUGCUAAAUUUUUUUAUACAAGGGAGCCUUCCAUGCUUGCAAAAUGGUGGGAUAACUUGAACCGAUCGAUUCGCUCAAAACCGUCUGAUUUCGUUGGGUUAUCGAUUCAAUCAUCGAUUUAGGUGAUUUGUGACCGGUCCAAUGCUUAGACGGUUUAAUAAAGUAAAUCUAAUAAAAAAUGUGAUGGAUCGACGAUUGAACCAGUUGGAUCAGUCGGUCCCACCCGAUUUUUAAAACAUUAGAUAAUAACAAAUUAAAAGAAGGGUGUCUCCUCAUAUGAGUUUUUUUGAAGUUCUCUACUCUUGGAGUGACUGAAAGGAUAACUGCAGCCUGGUGAGAUGGACUUUGGAAUAUGAGAAGUCAAAUCAGAGGCUCCUUCCUCCAGAUGCUUACCUCAGCCUUGUAAGCAUGAGUAAAGAUAUGGAUGGUUUACCUUCUCAAGGCAUAAACCGCAUAACAGCAAGGCCUAUAUCCUUGACUUGGUCUGAAAGCAUCCUAGCUUGGGUCCUUCUGGGAAUGGGAUUGCCACACGUAUGACCUCUGUAUCAUCAGUUUUGGGGCAAAAUAGCCAUUUUAUGUAUAAAAAAAAAUAAGCUUUAGCCCUUUACAAAACUUAUGUUUAAACUAGCUCACAUAGAGUCAUGUCAUCAUUUUUCUUUUAAACUCAAUUAGACUUUAUUUUUUAACUGAAACUUCAAUUACCAAUUGAGAAUUCAUUUUUUAACUAAAACUUCAAUUUACAAUUGAGGUUUUAGUUAACUUUGUUUUAAAUUUAAAUAAAAAAUUAAAUUAUAAAUUAUUAUUGAAAUUUAAAAAAUAUAUUUUAAUAAUAAUAAUUUAUAUAUUUAAACUUAAAUAUCUAAUAUUACUUCAAUAAAGAUAAAUUGACAAAUAUAAUAAUAAAUAAAUAUUUUAUUUAUCAAUAAAUUAAUAAUUUUAAAAUAAUAAAGUUAUAUGAAAUCUAAAUAAGAUAUAAAAUUAUAUAAUUUGUUAAUUUAAGAUAUUUAAUUUUUUGUAUUUUUAAGAUAUUAAUUUAUUUGUAUUUUGACAAAUUUAUCUUUAUUAAAAUAAUAAUAUAUUCUUAAGUUUCAUAUAUAGAUUUUUUUAUUAUUUUAAAGCAUAUAUUUAUAGUUUACGUAAAAAAAUACUAUUAUUUGUACAUACAAUAUAUAUGCCUUGAAGAUACAUUUUGAAAUUAGUUAAUAAAAUUAAUUAGAAAAAAGUCUACUAUAAAAUUUAAUUUUUAAUAGUUUCAUCAAAGUCACAAAAAAUACUCAUUAAAUAUUUAUAUUAUGGAAAAAAAAUGCCCCUCCCUAAUAUUACAUGUGAUAUAACUUAAAUUAAUAAAUUGUAUAAUUUUAUAUUUUAUUUAUAUGUCAUAUAAUUUUAUUAUUUUAAGAUUAUUAAUUAAUUGAUAAAUAAAAUAUUUAUUUAUUAUAUUUAUCAAAUUAUCUUUAUUGAAGCAAUAUUAGAUCUUUAAGUUUAAAUAUAAAAUUUUUUAUUAUUAAAGUAUAAUUUUUUAAUUUCAAUAAUAAUUUAAAAUUUAAUAUUUUUAAUUAAAUUUUAAAGUAAAAAAAUAAAAUAACUGAAGUUUCAAUUGACAUAUCUUAUUUAGAUUUCAUAUAAUAUUAUUAUUUUAAGAUUAUUAAUUUAUUUAUAAAUAAAAUAUUUGUUUGUUAUUAUAUUUAUUAAUUUAUUUUUAUUGAAGUAAUAUUAGAUCUUUAAGUUUAAAUAUAUAAAUUAUUAUUAUUAAAAUAUAUAUUUUUUAUUUCAAUAAUAAUUUAUAAUUUAUUUUUUAAUUAAAUUUUAAAAUAAAAUAAAAAUUUUAACUAAAACCUCAAUUGUCAAUUGAGGCUUUAGUUAAAAAAUAAGUUUCGAUUGACAAAUGAUACUUCAAUUAAAAAAUGAAGUCUUAGUUGGUAAUUGAGACUUCAACUUAAAUUUUAAAAAAAAAAAAUUAUGACAUAACUCCUAUAUGUGAUAAUAAAGGAACUAGUUUAAACAUAAGUUUUAUAAAAGGGUUAAAACUUAUAUUUUUUUCUACAUAAAAAACUAUUUUGCCCUAAAACUCCCGUAUCGUCGACUAGCUACUGCUUUACUCCAUGUAACAUCUUGUCUACUUAAUUAUAUGAACUUCCUGAAUUAAUGCUGGAAUGACAAACCAAGUUUUAUUGAAAAUGGAAACCUUCUUAGAAUCAAACAUUUGCUCGAACAAAUUUCGCAAUAAAAAGAGGAGAGUUGUGAAAAGAAGCAUUUUUCCUGCAGCCAAUUACCUUUUCAUACAUUACUUUAAAACAAAUUAACAAAUAGUGAUCUCAUAUUUUACCUUUUCUGUUGCAGAUUACUUUUAAAAAUAUUCUCUCCACAGGCACUCCUACGGAAUCUUUCUCCAAAUCAAACUGUACAUUUUACUCAAAUUUUAAUAUCUAAUUAUAAAUAAUUAUGGGUGAGAUUGCAAUCCUUUGCUUAGCUCUUUGAAAAUCUAUGAUGAUACUCGGUAUUAAUAUUUUAUUUUAUUAAAGAUAAAAAUAUCAAAAUAAUUUUAGAACUUUUUAGUGGGGAUAAUACUUCCCCAUUAGGCUGCUUACAAGGCAUAAAUUAAUAUUUUUUUAAUUUUAAUAAAAGCAAUUUGGUACAGUUGACUUGAUUGAUAACUAUUUAAGAUAGGAUUUAGACUAAUUUAGAUUAAUUAGAUUGCAUUUACAGUUCCGUUACCUCGAAACAAAGUUGGUGCAACAUUAACCAUGAUUAUGGUGAUAUAUUUUAGUUUUAUAUUUUUUAAGGGGAUAAUUUUUUUUUUUAAUGGUUUGAUGUUAGCUUAUAAGAAAAACCUAAACCAUAAAAGCCGAAUCUUUCCAAUAUUGAUCCAAUUUCUAUCAUUAAAAAUAUAUGAAUAAAACUUUUGAUCCUUAAAUAAAAGUAUACAAACUAUCGUACAAAAUAAUGGAAUCAAAUAUACAAAAUAAGAUUAAGGAAAUGUUUGAUAAAACUUAAUAUUUAUUAUUUAAUAAUUUAAAUUAACUCUAAGUUAAAUUAUAUUUAAGUUGUUGACUUAAAACUUAUUAUUUAAUUUUUAUUUUAAGUAUUAAGGUUAUUUAAAAAAAUUAACUUACAAUUUAUAUUAAAUCAUCAAAUUAAAAUAUUUAUCUUAAUAAAUUAUAACUAAGACAAAUAAGGUUAAAUAACAAUGGAGGUUGUGAAGUCAUAAAAGAGAUCAUAAAUGUAAUUGAGAGAAAAAAAGACAAAAAUAUAAAAUGAAGAUACUGACUUAAAAAUAAAUAAAUUUUUUUAUUUAUUAAGUCUUUUAUUUUAAGUCAUACAAUAAAAUUAUUUUAUCAAACAUAUUUAAUUUAUUUAAUAAUAUAAUUAAAAUAUUAAGUCACUUAAAGUUAUUAAAUUGGUUUACCAAACACGUACUAACGUACAAAUAAAUAAGACUAAAAUAGAAAACAAUGAAACUUAAACACAUAUAUGACAUGGUCUAUUUAAUUGUAUUUUUUUAUAAAUGCCUCUUUAAUACUUCCCAAAUCAUAACAUUAAAUUUCUUAAAUUGAUAUAAAACAUUUUUUUUUUUCUANNNNNNNNNNNNNNNNNNNNNNNNNNNNNNNNNNNNNNNNNNNNNNNNNNNNNNNNNNNNNNNNNNNNNNNNNNNNNNNNNNNNNNNNNNNNNNNNNNNNACAUAUAUGACAUGGUCUAUUUAAUUGUAUUUUUUAUAAAUGCUCUUUAAUACUUCCAAAUCAUAACAUUAAAUUUCUUAAAAUUGAAUUAUAAACAUUUUUUUUUUCUAUGAUUGAAUCAUUUAGCACUCCAAGUUUUACUAUUGGACGAAAUGUUAAGGAUCUAAUAAAUGGGUAACAUUAAUUUGCUGAAAUAGUUUUUCUUAUUACUUAUAAUGGUUUUAAGAAUGUUGAAAAAAAAAUUCAUGGGAAAACAUUUAUCAAACUCAAAUUUUGAUUCCUAUUUACUUUAUCUUUCCUUGUCAUGUCUCUUUCUAAUUUUCCUUUUUUAGCGGUUUGUUUAUUAGAACAGUAUAUCAUGCCUGUGAUUCUCUUUCUAUCACUUCUUUUCAAUUGAUUUGUUUAAUGCAAUAAUAUUUGUUUAAUGCAAUAAUAUAUCAUGUUAGACAAAAUAACACCUACCUACUACCCAAAUCCCCAAUGUGACAAUGAACUCUAUCUUUAAGCAUUAUUAUAAAAUUAAACGUAAAGGAUAUUAUAAGUUUCUUCCAUUCCACGUGCCUUUCCCAUAUAUUGAAAGGUGGAGGUUAUCAUUUUUAAAAGAUCAAUAAUUGUAAUGAAUUUUCCAUUCCACGUGCCUUUCCCAUAGAUUGAAAGGUGGAGGUGAUCAUUUUUAAAAGAUCAAUAAUUUUAAUGAAUUUCAUAUAUUUGCAUAUUUUUUAAGAGGGAAUUCAAAUUAACUCAUCUUAUUUCUCAAUGUUACGUAACUCCUGCCUCAAAUUAAAAUCAUCAUAUCAUUAUGAACAACUUUGAUACAACUAUUCAAUUUUUAAUAUGAAUUCUUUCAUUCUCAAAUCAUUGUUCAAGUUAGCUUUAUUAACUUAAAAAAACUCAUUCUUUGUCACUACUCCCUCUAUGAUUAUUAAAUGAUAAAAUUGUCAUUGUCUUAAAAACUAAUUUUGAUAAUAUAUUCAUCAACAUAUUUACAAAUUUAAAUUAAUACAAGUUGUAAGAAAUGUAUCAUAAAGAAGAUACAAAACUAGAAGUAGAUGAUAAUUAAUUAUUUUUUUUCUUUAUUGAACUUUGACACCCCAUCCAAAUGCAUUAACGAGAAAAAUAGUGUUUUAUGCUUGUUUUCAAUUAAUCUUGUCAAUAUGUACAUGAAAAACAAUGAUUUAUGCUUAUAAAUCUUAUCAAUUCGCUUAUUUGUAUAUGUAAAAUGAAAUUAUUGAAACUACACGUAGAAUUGCAUGAGGAAAAAAAUACAACUACUGCAUUUAUAAAUGAAUAAAAGCUUGGCUUAAAAUUCAAAAUUCUCAAAACUAUGUUUUCCACACCAAAAUAUUUCAUCCAGCCAACCAAACACCGAUUGAAUCCUCCCUCUAAAGCAUAUUGCCCAAGAUUACAGGCAACGUAGUAAUUACCUAGGCAAGUACGUCAGAAUUAUAGCUUCUUUUUUUUUUUUGUUUUUUUUCAGUUCAUUGACUCGGCUCCACCCAACCACUAUCAGUAUCAGUUACUACCAGAGAGGGUACUGGGUACUGGUUACUGGGCAGGAGCUUUUCCAAAUUCACAACCCGUCUUCUUUAUAUAAGGGCAAGUUUAUGUAUUUCCUCUCGCCAUUGCCUUUUGUUCGAAUCAUUUGAAGUUGAUUUUAUUAAUCCAUCAGAAAAACAUGGCUCUAACUGGUAAAUUGGAGAUUGAAACAGAGAUCAAAGCACCUGCUGAUAAGUUCUUUAAAAUCUUCAGGAGCCAAGCACACCACCUUCCUAAUAUCUGCUCCGAUAAAAUACACAAAAUCGAGGUACAUGAAGGUGACUGGGAGACUCAGGGCUCUGUCAAGCAUUGGAGUUACACCAUUGGUAGGAUAUGCAACUCGAACUCAGAACCCCAAAACACUAGCUAGCAUUAUAUUCCGUUAAAAUGUUUUUUGAUUUUUUUUCCCCAUUUCAUUGUUGUUUUCUUCACAUUUUUUUAUUCUUUUAGAAUAAAUGCAUGGCUCUUUGUACAAUUUUUCUUUUUUUCUUGCAAAGAAGUGGUCAAGUCUGGGCCGCCAGUGACUAUGAUCGAUGGUUCUUAGUAAUGUAUAUGGCAUCUAAUAUUAGCUUCAACAUAUUCCAAUUACUAGGAGGGAAUUCUAAGAGCAUUAAGGAGAGUGUGGAAUCAAUAGAUGAAGAGAACAGGUCCAUUACGUUCAAGGUUUCGGAUGGAGAGGUGCUGAACGACUACAAGAGCUACAAGUUCACCACACAAGCAAUACCAAAGGGAGAGGGCUGCUUGGUGAAAUGGACCAUUGAAUAUGAGAAGGCAAGUGAGGAUGGGCCAGAUCCCCAUGACUACCUGGAGUUUGCAGUUACUGUCACCAAAGAUAUCGAAAGUCACCUUCUCAAUGCAUAACACCAAGUCCAUACAUACCGUCUGCUAGUAUCUCUAUUAAAUAAAGUUUGGAACUUGGAAGGGCAUCUACGAUCUCUAUCCUUCAAUAUAUGCGAAGGCUUAGGGGAACUUUUAGCAGCUGUGGCUUGGUGAUUAAUGCUGAGAAGAUAAACUAGGUUUCCCUUAAUUAUUUGUGUAAUAAUGUUAGUGCAUGCGUGUAAUCGGUUGUAUGCUUGUCUGGACUCUAGGGGUUGCUUUGUGAUUGUUAAUUGGUGUCUUUUGUAAUGGGAUUACUACAUGUUAUGUGAAGACUAUAUGAUGUAUAAGGAAAUAAAGUGAAAAUUACCAGGGGCUAACUCCAUCAUGAGGAGCCUCUGAGUAUGUCCACAAGUCUACAUUCUUGCAUUCUAGUCACAUGUGUCAAAAUCAGACCCUAACAAAUUACAGUCUUGAUCAUUGAAGGGGUAAAAUCCCACUUUACAUAUAAUCUAAAUAAUUUAGCUAAAAUCUAAUAAGAAUAUCUCUCUCUACAGGUAUGUAACCUUCCAACCUUGAAUUUAAGGAUAUUUAUAUAAUUUAAAAUUAUAAAAAGAAAAUUUUGGAUAUAGGACAAAUUAAUUUUUUUUUUAAAAAAUAACGAAAGUGAAUGAAAUAUUUUUGGUUCCUAUGACCACCCACUUUUUUUACUUUUUAUUUUUAUCUCAUUUUAGUUUCUCCACGUUAUAAAAAAAUGAAAAGAUAAAAUAGAGAGGAAAAAAGACAACUUGGAUUUGUAGAAGUUUCUUUCUUUCAUGGUGUUUUUCUGUUCUGUUUUUGCCUUUGUUUCAUUCUAAAAGUCACUCACUAUCUUUAUCUCAUUUGGGUUUCCCCGCGUUAUCAAAAAAUGAAAAUAUAAAACAAAGAGGAAAAAAAAACCUAUACAAAGGUCUUUGGAAUUUUGAUUCAAAGACUUAAGAAAAGAAUAAUAAAUUUUUGCAUUUGUUCCGUUCUAAAAUUCAAGGUAAGUUUUUCACAUAUAAUUUUUUUUUAGGAAUUCUAUUAUCUAUUAAUUAUGAGAAUAGUAAAUAUAUAUAAUAAUAAUAAUAAUAAUAAUCAUCAUCAUCAUCAUCAUCAUCGUCAUCAUCAUUAUCAUUUUAAAACUAGUUAUUAGUGAUCCUAAUCAAUCGAGAACAAGUUGAUUUUCAUUACCCUUGGUAAUGGUAGUGAUAAAAUAUAUUUUUAGUUAAUAAGGGUGUAAUUAGCUUUGGGGUUUCAUUGAUUAGAAAUUAUUUCAUCUACUAGUAAAAAAAACAAAGUAAAACUAACCAUCAAGUGCAAAUCAUGAAUUUUUUUAAAUAUGAAUUGAGUAUACAAAGUAUAUUAUUUAAUUAUAUAUUUAAAUUGAAAGAGAUUAAUUUUUCAAAAAUAGUGAAUUUAAUCAUUGAAUCAAAUCAACUUACCUGUUAUAAAGAUGUGAUAUGUUCCAAAAUUUAGUUGUAUACAAUACGUGACCCUUCUUAUUAAACUAUCCUUUAUCAUUGAGCUAUCUAACUUACCUUUCUCAAUUAUUAUCCUUUAAGGUACAUCAAAUAUUGGUAUAAAUGAGAAGAGAUCGAGAUAUGAAAAGUAUUUCAAAUAGAAACAUCUUUAGAAUAGAUUUAUUUUUUAGGAUUGUUUACUUAGAUCAAGUUUAUUUUAAUUUCUAAAAUGUUUUUUUAAGUGUUUGAGAGAAUUAAAGUUAUUAUUUAGAUAUUUUAAUUAGUUUUGGAUUUGUUUGUUAAGGUCAUUCAUACAAAGAUGAUAUCCAUUUCUGUGUUAUAUUUUAUUUUAUUUAUUUAUUUCUUAUUUCAUGUAUUAAGUUUGAUAAAACUGAAGGUGAAAUCAACAUUGAAUUGCUAAAAAUGUCAAUUACUAUUGUUAAUUUAUCACAAUUAUGAUUUUUUAAUUGUAGCACAUAGUAAAAUUAUUAUUAUUAUUAUUAUUAAUAUUUAUACUCUGGUCGAACUUAUCCAUGGCCAAUCCAUCAUGUAGGCCAAUUUUGUCAAACUUAUCCAUGGCCCAUCCAUCAUGUAGGCCAAAUUUUUAUUAGCAUUUUUGGGUCAUAACUCUAGAUGCUGACAUUAAAGCAUUUCUGGCAUAAUAAUUAUUGGAAAAGGAUGUCUCCUCUUUCAUGGAUCACAACCAAUACAGCAAAGAUGAUGAUAGAUAGCAUCCUUAUCACCUCAUGUGUCUUGACCUCUUCUUCAAGCUUGAGUGUCUUGUCCUAUAUUUAACGCAUGUACCAUUGCCUCCAAGAUAUGGUGACAGGAAUUAUAUAGCUACUGACUAGCUAGUCUUCACUCCAAAAAUAUGAUGGCCACUUUUUUGAAAUAUAACUCUUUAUCCUAUUGACUUAAACUCACCACCUCUUUCAGAUCCUCCACAAGGAUCAACUUAUUAAGAGUUUGGUCGAAGUUUGAUCCACUUUUCUAAAUGAGCAAUGUUAAAUUAUUUUAUUCAAACAAAUUUGAUGAUCAAAUAUCUCUUAUUUUCUCAAAUUUAAAUAACAUUCCUUUAUAAAAAUAAUUAUAAAAUUUAUUAUAAUCACUCAUUUUCAAUGGCUCAUUAGUAGAUGUUCAUUGUAUUAAAAUACAUUUAUAUGAUUAAGAAAAACUUAUACAUUUCUAUUUUUUUUUUCUAUGCAUAAUUUAUAAUAUCUCAUAUAGGAUUUAUUGGGUUUAGAAACAUGUAAUAUUUAUAUAAUAGUGAGUGAAUUAUUAUAAAUGGUAUGAAAAUUGAUUUUCAACCCUUUAUGAGAAUUUAUUUAAUACUACAAUAUAUGACUCUAUGUUUGAUUAUGUAAUCCUAUAAGACACGAUGUCCAUUAAGUUCAUUAUAUUAUUUUUAAUUAUGUAAAAAUAUUUUAAAAUUAAAAAAAUUCAUUAAACUUAGUGCAGACGCUAUCUAUAUAAAAGGAAAUAAAUGGUUAUACUUCAUCAUAUUCGUUUCUCAUAUUUGAUAUAUAUCAAUUUCAGCGACUAUUAUUCAACAUUGCCCGAAGCAAUAGGUGCCUCACUUUUACAAAGAAAACUUCCUCUAUUGAUAUUUCUCAAAUAUAAAUUCAUGUCAUGGACUCAUGGUUAACAACCGAUAGAUCCUAAAACAAUUAGAUAUCUCAGAUAUUGAUUGACCAAAUGGACAACCGAUGCUAUAGUAAGAGCUGUUGCUGUUAUCUUUUAAUUUAAAUAUACACAAACGACAAAAUGCUUAACUAAUCCACCACCCAGGCGCCGGGCCACAGAAAUGAAAUACCGCCUACCCCAACAUUUUGGAAUUAAAAAUCUACACCACCCAGAUCUUGCUGUGAUUUGGUAAAUCCCGAGAAAUUGACAACCUUCCUACGCUGGGGAGGCGUGGUUCCAUUCAAUGCCAACAUUUUCGGAUGGGUCCAGAGAGUUGUACAGUGACUUUUAAAUAAAGAAUUGUUUUAAACCUUGACUUUGGGCUCUUUAUCAGGAAUAUGAAAAUAUUGGGCAAUGACUAGAUUCGAGAGCAGGUUGCAUGCAUAGAUAUCGCAUUAAUUUUUAGCAAUCGUUAUGACGAAAGAAAAUCUGCAGAACCAAGCGAAUUUUCCUAGUCAUCAUGAGAGACAUUAGACAAGGUUUUCAAUUCAUAAAAUUGCCUUAUCAUCUGGAAUUAAAUAUUUUCAAGCUAAGGAUGAGGUUCAAUCCGUACGGGGCAAUGAAAAUAUAUGGAUGCCCUAUAGAGUGGUUGAACAUUCUACAGUUUCGUCCCUAUUUAUAGAAGAAGAUGAAAUUUUAAGCAAUUUGCUUCAAUGCAAUUUUAGCAUAUUUCAGCUAGUCAUAGCAACGUCUAAUUUCGUUGAUGUAGAAGAAGCUAACACCAAAGAUUCAUCUAGGUAGAAAGAAGUAUCGAGCAUGUAACUAACCGCAGAACUCACAUCUAGGGACCCUAUUGUAAAUAUAACAGGUGAUGGACAUAAAGAUAGAUAUGAGUAAAAGAGUGGAACAUAAAAUCCAAAUUUCAAAAGUAUGAUAGUUUUUUAGUGUUUCUUUGAAUCUCGUAGGAAUUUAGGUCAUUUUCAAUCUCAUCCAUGAGACAAGGUACAAUAAUUGUUGAAGAAUAAGAGUAUUGUUGGGCAGUUCGGCGAGCUAUAUAUAAAGAGAGAGACUUCUUAACCAUAUAAAUAUUAUCCUCUAUAACUCUAAAUUUUUUUUUCCUUUAUCCAAUAUAAAAUAUCACAAUCACUUUUAUGUAUGCACUCUUUUUAAUCACGUCGCAUAAAAUUACACCAUUUUCAAAGCUAAAUAAACUCCUAUAUAGGGGUCAUAUAUUGACUUCAAUACUCUUUGAAACGACUCACACUUAAUCAUAUAAACUCAUUAUAAUAAUGUAUUUCCUAAUUUCAUGGAAUUUCAAUAAAAUAUUUAUUACUUUCAAAUGGGAAUUAGAGAGGAAUGUUGUCUAGCUAACUCAUAAUUCUUCUUUAUAAGUUCAAAUUAGGUAUUUACUUCUUCCUACCAUUACCUCAUAUUUUGAUUGUUUCUUCGUUAAUAUAUAGUUGGUUAAACUAAUAAACUAGAGGUUAGGAUGGAGAUCAAUUUAGAUUAUGUUUGUUUUGAGUUUAAUAAACCCUUACGACUUUAAAAUGUGUUUAGAUAGUUAAGAGAAACUUAUACAUAUAUAAUAUUAAAAAAAUUUCCUCAUUUAAUGUGAGAUAUUAUAAUCAUCACUCAUGUAGACAUAAUAUAUUUGUUGUAAGUCAGAAGAUUGUAAAACCAAACAAAUUUUUUCAUUGAAAUAUAAUAUUAUUUGUAAUGGUUCACUUUCUCUCAUGGAUCCCAACUCCAUUAGGUUCUUCAUGAAGCUUGUUUCAGUUUAUUAACCACCGAUGUAGCAAAGAUGAUGAUAAGUAGUAUUUUUGUUUCUCAUAUGUUUUCAGACCUCAUCAAGCUUGAGUGCCUUAUCCCAUCUCUAACGCAUGUACCAUUGCCUCCAAAAUAUGUUGCCAGAUUAUACAUAAUAUCAUAAUUAUAGCUACUGAAGUCCAACGACUACCUAGCUAGUCUUCACUCCCAAAAACAUGAUGGUCACUUCUUUGAAAUAUAACUCUUAUCCUAGUGACUCAAACUCACCACCUCAUUGACAUCCGUCAUAAGAAUUUCAGAGACUCUUCAAAGUUUGAUCCACUUUUAUAGAUGAAUAAUGUAAAAUUCUUUUAUUCAAACAAAUUUGAUGAUCAAAUAUCUUUUCUUUCCUAAAAAUUAUAUUUCCUUUUUAUAAAUCUUAUUUUAAUGACCCAAUUACAGUAUGGUAGAUAUUGUUUGUUUCGAGUCCAAUAAACCCUUAUAACUUUAAAAUAUGAUUAAAUAGUUAAGAGAAACUUAUAAAUAUAUAAAUGUGAGGUCAAAUAAAUUUUCAUAUUGAGAUAAAAGAUUAACUUUAAUACUAUUUGUAAUGGUUUACUUUCUUUCAUGUAAACAUCAUCCACUUUAUACUCAAUGAAUCAUUGAAGCUUUAAAACAUAUUUACAUGAUUAAAAGAAACUCGUACAUAUAGUAUUAGAAUUUUUUUUUUCUGACCCAUGAUUUGCAAUAUAUGUAUAAAUACGUUUUAAAGUUAUGAGGAUUUAUUAAGUUCAGAGUAAAUAGUAUUUAUAUUAAAUGGAAUGACAUGUCACAUGCAAAUAAUAUCAAACUCAAUCUCCAAUUUUUAUAUAAGAGUUUGUUUGAUUUUAUAAAAAAUGUUUGUGUGUUUCAUUCUACAAUUCUGUGAGACACAACAUCCAUUUAAUUUAUUAAAGUCUUUUUAACUAUGUAAACAUGUUUUAAGUUGUUAAGAUUGAUUGGGUAAAAACAGAAGAGGUGAUUGUGUGUUUUAUCCUACAAUUCAAUGAGGCAAUGCCUAAUUGAUUCAUUGGGGUACUUUUAAUCGUUAAUGCAUGUUUCAAUGUUGCUAAGAUUGAUUGAGUGAGGAAAAUAUCUACAUAUGAAAGGCAACAGUUAGUUACACUUCAUUAUGUUUUUUUCUAAUAUAUUGAUAUAUGUCAAUUUCAGUAGUUAUUAAUUCAACAUCGCCCAAAGUAACCAAUGCCUCGCUUUUCCAAACAAAACUUUCUCUAUUGAUAUUUCUUAAAUAUAAAAUCAUGUCAUGGUAAGCAUCCGAUGGAUACUAAGACAAUUGGAUAGAUAUCUCAGAUAUUGAAUGGACCAAAUGGGGUAACGGAUGUGGUAGUAUACAAGCGCUGUAUAUCUUUUAAUUUAGAUAUACACACACAACGUAAUGCCUAAUCCAUCCAGCCGGGGGGCCGGCCAGAGAGAUAUAAAAUACCCCCAAUCCCAUCAUUUUGUAUUUUGUAUUGGAAUUAAAAAUCCAAACCCAGAUAUUGCUAUGAUUUGGUAAAUCCCGAGAAAUUGAGAACCCAUCCUGGGGGAGGCAUGGUCCCCCUAUUCAAUGCCAACCCUAUUUUCAAAUGGUGUCUAAAGAGUUGUACAGUUAACGGUGACUUUAAAAUAAAGAAUUGCCUUAAACCUUGAUUUUAGGCCCUUCUUCAAGAAUAUGAAAAUGCAUGUUGGGCAAUGAUUUAGAUUCGAAAGUGGGUUCUGCAGACAUCACAUUUCUGCAGAGCCGAAAAUAUUUACAAGCGUAGGACGAAGCUCAGUUCAGAUGGGCCUCGAAGAUGAAUUUUUAAGCAAUUUGCUUGAUACAUUCAGCAAUUGAUAAUUUAAAAUAAAAAAAAUUAGGAAAUAGAAAGUAAAACAUAUAUGGUUAAAACUUCAAUGCAAUUUUAGCAUAUUUGAACUAGUCAUAGGAGCGUUUAAUUUCUUUGAUGAAGAAGCUGAACACCAAAGAUUCAUCCAGGUAGAAAAAUGUAUUGACCAUCUAAUUGUCUGCAGAACCUACAUCUAAGUACCCCGCUAUAAAUAUAAGAGGCAACUUAGGUGAGGGACAUAUAGACACAUACGAAUGCCAUUGUAGAAUAUAAAAUCCAAAUUUCUCAAAACUAUAAGGUUAUGUUUGAAUCCAAAAAAAUAUUAGAGGAAGUGAAAAUGUUAAGAAAAAUAAUUUUUUAUGAUUAAUUUUAUUAUAAAAAAUAUAAAAAAUAAAUAUAAUUAAAAUUAGUUAGAAUUUUACAUAUUUUUAAAUUAUAUAAUUUGAAUUUAAAUAAAUAUAUAAAAAUAAGUCAUUAAUUUUAGAUCUAUUUCUUUUUUCUUUUUUUAUAUUCUCCCACAAAAUUUCAGUAACCGAACACAACCUAAUAGUUUCCACUGUUUCUUUGAAUUUCUCAACUUCAAAAUCUCUUGUCUAUGAGACCUCAGAGUAAUUAAUUCCUACCUCUUGGUGACUAGGCCAAGCGCAUGGAUAGGCACAUUGACCCACUUGUAAUUGCCUAGGCUAAUAGGCCAAGCUCAUAGCAAUUUUCCUUUUUUAUUUUUUAAUUUCGUCGUAGGACUUGGUCUCCACAAGGCACUAUAACGUAUCCCCUAAUUUCAUUUCAUGGAACUUUAAUAAAAUAUCUAUUGCUUUCAAGUGGGAACUGGAGAGCAACGUUGCCUAGCUAACUCACAAUCCUUCUAUAUAAGUUCAAGCUAGGUAUCUUCUUCCUUCCACCACUGCCCACUGCCUUGUAUUAGGAUAUCGUUUCUUAGUUAAUAUAUAGUUGAUUAAUUUCCAUCUCCAACUACUACUAUUAUUAGAAAAAUAUGGCUCUAACUGGCAAGCUAGAGGUUGAAAUGGAGAUCAAUUCACCUGCGGAUAAAUUCUAUAACAUCUUCAGGAGGCAAGCACACCACAUUCCUAAUAUCUGCUCAGAUAAAGUACACCAAAUUGAUGUACAUGAAGGUGACUGGGAGACUCCAGGCUCCGUCAAGAACUGGGGUUAUACUCUUGGUAAGGCAACCACAACUCAAACCCCAAAACCCUAGCACUAUUAGUCUGUAAAAAAAAAUGAUUUUUUUAGUUUUUCUAUUUCAUUUAAUUGUUUUUUUGUUUGGCAUUUUCCCCUUUAGAAUAUUAAUUUAACUGCAUUAAUUCGGAGUUGAUCCCAUCAUGUGGAAGUUUAUGCUUCUGUUAUGAAUACAGCUUUGUAUGCCUUCCUUAUGUUUAAUUCAACCUAAAGCAUGUAGAAUUGAUGGUCAAAGUCUAUGGGACCCUUUUUUCAUGACCGCCAUGCAUGGGGCUUUCCCAGGUGACUGCCCGCUACUAAAGGGGCCUAAAGUUUAGGUCCCCCGAGUUAGAACUUAGAAGAGGGAUUAUGAAUGAUCAGUGAAGUUGUAAGGUUUUGAUCUUCUUAGAUAUUACCUAGAAAGAGGAUUGACUUUACUUGACUUUUACCAUAUUGAUUUAGAGAUUGGCGAUUGCUUUAAAAGGUUGUGUCAACAGAAGAAAACUUAAAAAAUAUUAAGAAAAAUAAAAAAAAUGAUUUUGUUUUUAUAAAAAAAAUCAAAUAUAAUAAAAACGAGUUGAAAUUUUAUUUAUUUUUAAAUUAACUUUUAUAUAGAAGAAUUAAAAUACGUUAAGUAAAUUUGAAUCAAAAUAUAAAAAUAAUUAAUUUCUUAAUUUUAAAUUUAUUAUUUUUCUUUUAACUUCUUUUUUGUUUUUUCAUUUUCUUUUCUUUUGUAUUUUCUUCAAAUUUUUUUAGAACCAAAUAUAGUCAUUAUGAAAAGAUGGGCCACGAAGUGACUACGCAUGUCAAUUUGCUUGAGAUUUCGCAAUCUAGUAGUUUCAAAAUACUAUGCUUAACCCCUUGUUUUGGUUUGAAAUUACUAGGAGGGACUUCUAUGAGCCUUAAAGAGACUGUGGAAUCAGUAGAUGAUGAAAACAAGUCAAUCACUUUCAAGGUUGUGGAUGGAGAGAUCAUGAACCAUUUCAAGUGCUUCAAGUCCAACUUGCAAGUAAAAGCAAAGGAUGAGGGCAGCUUGGUGAAAUGGAGUCUGGAAUAUGAGAAAGUAAAUAAGGAUGUCCCAAAUCCUGAUGCUUACCUGGAGUUCGCAGUUAAUGUUACUAAAGAUAUUGAAAGCCACUACCUCAAGGCAUGACACCAAGGCCAUGUGGUAUCCUCGGUAGUAUUACUUCAAUAACGCUGGUGUUUGUAAUUUGGUUGAGUUGUAUGCUUUACCAGGAGUGGCCUUGUGAUUGGCUGGUUUCUUUUGUAAAGGCAUUAUCAUAUAUGAUGUAAAUACUGUACCUUAAAUAAAAAGAAAAUCAGCAAAGACCCUCCUUUUUAAUGUGGAUAAUUGCUUUUAAUGUCACCUUUGUUGAUCGGUUUACAAGACAAGAGUUAACAAGUAGUCCCUAUUUAUUAAAUAUAAGAAUUUUCUGUAUCCAUUAAUCAUCAUCAGUAAGCUAAUAAAAUGGCUGAUAUUUUUCUUAAUAAAAACAGCAACAGUUACUGAGUUUAUAUAUAGGACACCAGUUGCAGAUUAGAUUUCUUUGGCUUGAUUGUGAUCUUUCUACAUGUUGGAAAAAUAUUGUCAUUUGGUAUUUAAUAUCAAAUUUUAAAAAUAAUAUUUAAGAUAUGAAGAAAAAAACAUACAAUGAUUCAUAUUUUUAACUUUAAUAUGAUUUAAAGUUCAUCGAGUAACCGUUUUGAAAUCAUUCACCCUUGAUCUUCACUUUCCUAGUCUCCCUUUACACGUUCCUUAGUGGUGAGUAUGAAAAUGAUUCCAUUGAAUUGUAAGAAUGGAAAGAGGGAUAAAAAAUUCUUCUAUUUAUAAGCAUAGAAUGAUUCUUCUUAUCAGUGAACCAUUAACUAAAUACUUUAAACAUAUUAUUAAUUAAUAAUAAUAAUAAUAAUAAUUAUUAUUAGAAAAUAAAUUUCAUAAAUAUUAUAAAUUUAAAAAAGAAUCUAAUUUAAUUCUUAAAAAAUUUAUGCAUGAAAUUUUUAUAUUAUUUUUAAUUGUUUUCUAAGGGUUAUUUUAAGAAAUUAUUAUACAAACAUAUAAAAUAAUUAAAAAUAAAACAAUAGAUAUAAAAAUUAUUUUUAAAAAUAUUAAAAAUAAAUUCAAAAUAUUUUAAGUUGCCAAACAAAUUUUUUAUUCUACAAAAAUCAGAGAUAGUUUUCAAAAUCUCUUUUAAAAAACUAUUUUUCAGAAUUAUUUUAAAAAAUAGUUACCAAACAAGCCCUAAAAGAUUUAUAUAUAUAUAUAUAUAUGAAAUUAAAAAAAUAUCAAAUAAUAAAAAUUCAAACAAUGGUAAGGGUGUCACUAAUGAUCGGUUUGGAUUUAAACUAACAUUUUUUUAUAUUGAGUAAUUUAUUUUUUAUUCUAUAUAUUAGAAAAUUGAAUUUAAAUGUAACUUUUUCAAAUAAAAUAGUUAGAUCACACUUGAUAUAUAGUAAUAAUUUUUUAAAAACUAAUGGUCAUAAUUUAAAAAAAUGAUGAAAAAAAAAUCUCAAAUAUAUUGCAUAUGAAUGUAUAUAUUUAGUUUUAUACAACAUGUUAGACAUAUAUUAGUUAUUAACUUAUUAUAAUCUACUAAAAUAUUAAUUCUAUACGAGGGGAUUAGAUUUCUCAUUGUUGAUUUUAUAACCCUCAUUGUGGGAUUAUAAAAUGUCAUUGCAAUCACUCCCAAUUUAGUCUAUGCAAAUCAAAUAUAGAAAUGCAAUUUAUCUCUGUCACAAUUUGUUACACAAUAAUGAUAAUGGAUAAUAAAUAAAUAAAUAAAUAAAAUUAAAGAACACACAUUUAUGUAUAAAACUUUAGAUGAGAAAAAUCAUGGAUAAGGAAAAUGAAUAUCCAAUAUAUCAAAAGAUUGGUAUAAAAGAUGAGAAAUAUAAACAACUAUGAUAAAAAUAUAAUCAUCAUAACCUUAAAAUUAUGUGAAAGUAAUUAACAAAGUAGGUCCAUACAUAAGGACAAAGAGCCCCCUCAAAGGUAUCAAUGGUGGGGGUGUGGGGUGUGGGAUCGGAUCAAAUUCCAACGUUAUCAAUGGUAGGCUAGGGGAUCGGAUCAAAUAGAAUUUGGAUCGCCAAACCUUAAUACAUUUUAUGCUUUUUCUUAUUGGUUUAGAUUUAUGAUAAUCUCCUCCACCAGCAAAAUAAAGUUAUACCGGAGGAUUUUCUUUGUUUUGGCUGUCACACUUUCACUUCUUUGCUAAUAGCCUAACAUCAAAUGAGAAAAUAGAGACAUUUUAAAAAUGAGAACAAAUUCUCGAGGAUUUAGUUGUCUGCCACUAGACUAUAAAAAAUGCUUUCCUGUUAUUUUACCCCCUAAAAUAAGUUUGAUACAAUGCAUCUAUUUUCUGGCUCCGACAAUGUUUAAGAAUACAUCAACCGACCUCAAACCACAUUAUUUCGGUUUGAAAAGAAGGCUUUAUUAUGUCAGUAUGGCUGCUAAGAAGACUUUUGGAAUAUAAUAAAACAAGUCCAGCGAGUUGAUGGUUUGGAAUCGAGAGAUCAUGAAUGAUUUCCCUACUUUAGAGUCAAUAAUUAAGUGGAAUGUGAGAAGGUGAAUGAGGAUGGCCCGGGAUCCAAUGCUUACUAAACUAUUGAAGAUCACCUUCCUGAGGCAUAAUUCCAUUACUUUUCAUCGACGCUGCGAUGCUAUAAAAGAAUAUUAUAAAAAUGCAAGGGUAAUGAAAUAUUGUACAGCCUUUACCGUAUUGAAGAACGUGGACUGAUUGCUAGGGUACCCAACACCCACCAUAAUUCCCACACCAACUCCCAACCAACCCGAUCACGUAGGGCCUCACAUGGCCUCAUUAUCAUUUAUGUGGAAAGAUAAUGCUAAACUAUAUACGGGAUGGCCAUUCUACCAGCCAACCUGUAAUGAUUUUGAUAAAAGUAUACUAAAAAUAGAAGGAGAAAUUAAGUUAUCAUUUGAUAACGGUUUUUAAAAAUUGUUUUUAAUAUUUUAUAAAAUAAAAUUUUAUUUAGAAAUACAAAAUAUUUUUAACUUAUUUUUAAUAUUUUAUAUGUAUAUAUAUAUAUAUAAAGAGAGAGCGCUUUAUUUUUAAUUAUUUUUCAUAUUUAUAUAAUUAUUUUUUAAAACAAUUUCAAAAAAACAAGUGAAAAUAACUAAAAAAAUAUUCUUUGAGAUAAAGAUCAAAAAACAUAAAAUAGUUUUUUUUAUUAUCAAACAUGUUUUAUGUUUUCUAAUCUGUGUUUUUUUAAUUUGUUUUUUGUUUUCAAAUCUUAAGAUCACUUAAUUUUUUAGGGUUUUUUUUAAGAAAUAAUUAUAUAAAUAUAUAAAAUAAUUAAAAAUAAAAUAUUAGACAUAAAAAUUAUUUUUAAAACAUAUUUAAAAAUAUUAAAAACAAGUUUAAAAUAUUUUAAGUUAUAAAAUAAGCUUUUUUUUUUUUACAAGAAUCAUAAAAUAAUUUUUAAAAACUAUUUUAAAAUAUUAUUUUUGAAAAUAAUUAUCAAACCCCUUAUUUUCUAUUCUCAAAAAAUGUUUUUUAAUUAUCAAAUGUGGUGUCUAUUUAAAUUUAAGAUUUUAAAUUUUAAAUUUAGUUAUUUCCAAGUUAUGAUCUCUUGAUAUUAUUUCAACCUAUUAUUUAUUUAUUUGUUUGUUUUUCACAUAAAUAAACUAAAAUUCAAUUGUAUAACCCAGUAUGAAUCACGUGGGCCCUUAGUGAGGCUGGCUACAACUAAAUCAACGUUCUUUUGAUAAUCGAUUGCCUAUGAAAGAAAUCAUCACGCCUUACACACAAUAGAAUAAAUUAAUAAGAAAGUAAGAAGAUUAGAAAGAAAAGCAUCUUAGAGGAAGGGUUUUUUUUUUUUUAACUUCUUGGUGGUGACACUGGAUGGGCUUUUGAUAAUUGUACGACGAAUUUAAAAUUAAUGUUUUAAAAUACGGUAUUAAAAAAUAUUUUCAAAUUUAUGGUACUUUUUACCACUUUGAAACAUGUUUCUUAAAAAAGCAUAUUUCAUCGUUUUUAUAUUAAUGAUACACAUUCAAAAAAAAAAAAAUUAAAGGUGUCUUUUUGAAAUAUAUUUUUCAUAAUUUUUAUAUCAAUAACACACAUUAAAAAAUUUUGAAUUUAUAUUAAAAGUGUCUCUUCAAAAAACACAUUUUAUAAUUCCAUAAAAUUAAAUUUAUAUUAAAAGUGUCUUUUAAAGAUAUACUUUUUACAAUUUUCAUAUCAGUUAUAUAGUGAAAAAAUUGAAUUUAUAUUAAACAUAUUUCUUUAAAAGACAUUUUCUACAAUUUCAUAAAAUUAAAUUUAUAUUAAAGGUAUCUCUUUCAAUAAUUUUUGUAUCAAUCAUCCAUUGAAAUAAUUGAAUUUAUACUAAAAAUAUCUUUUUAAAAGACACCAUCCAUAAUUUCAUAAAAUUAAAUUUAUAUUGAAAUGUUUCUCUUUAUACUUUUAAUAUAAAUUUAAUUUUUUUAUAGGUGAUUAAUAUAAAAAUUAUGAAAAGUAUUUAUUUAAAAAAUAUUUAUUAUAAAUUCAAUUUUAUAGAAUUAUAAAGACGUCUUCAACGUAAAUUCAAUUAUUUUUUCAAUGUGUAAUUGAUAUGAACAUUAUGAAAAAUGUCCUUCAAAAGACACUUUUAGUAUAAAUUUGAUUUUAUGGUAUUAUUAAAAGUAUAUUUCUUUAAUAUAAAUUCAAUUUUUUAACAUGUAUAACUAAUGAAAAAUUAUAAAAAAAUUAUAUUUUGAAGAGAUAUCUUUAAUAUAAAUUCAAUUUUUUAACAUGUAUAACUAAUGAAAAAUUAUAAAAAAAAUUAUAUUUUGAAGAGAUAUCUUUAAUAUAAAUUCAAUUUUAUAGAAUUAUAAAAGAUAUCUAUUGAAAAAAUACUUUUAACAUGUAUCAUUGAUAUGAAAAAUAUAGAAAAUAUCUUUUCAAAAAACACUUUUUAAAAUGGUAAAAAGUACCAUAAAUUUAUCAAAAGUUUUAUAACUAUCAUAGAAAUUUUUUUCAAAAGUUCCAUUUUUUAAUAAUUAUUUUUUUAAAUAGCCGUACAAGUUAUAUAAAAAAAAACCCGAUACUCCAUAAAAUGUGAUCAAGUAGGAUUUGCAUCAUGCAACCUCAUACAAAUAAUAAAAAGCAUAAAUCACUUGAAACUUGAAAGUGAUUGGAAUUUGGCAGACUCUAGCUAGCUAGGUUGCCAUAAAUGACAUGGGUCAGUGGCCGACACCCACCAAACCCAGCACUUAAUAAUAUAAUUAAUAUACUAUUAUUAUAGAACCAUCGUUUUCAGGAUAGGGAGCAUCAAAUUAACCUCCCCAAGUCAAACUGCACAAUUUGUUUCAUCGAAAUCGAAUAUCUAAUAAUGAAUGAUUAUGGGUGAGAUUGCAAUCCGCCAAUCCUUUGCCUAGCUCUUUGAAAAUCAAUGAUGAUGCUUAGUAUUAAUAUUUUAUUUAUCUUUUUAAUAUGAAAAUAAAAAUAUCAAAAUAAUUUUAAACUUUUUUCGUGGAGAUAAUGCUCCCCAGUUAAGCUGCUUAUAAGGUAUAAAUUAAUAAUAACCUUUUAAUUUUAAUAAAAGCAAUUUGAUACAUAUCACAUCUUAAUUCACUUGAGUAAUAACUAUUUAAGAUUGGAUUUAGGUUAACUUAGAUUAAUUAGAUUGUAUUCAGGUUAAUUAAACCAUAAUCAUAUUAUUAUCAACAAUUUCUCACAACUAUCCUAUUUUUAAUAUGAAUUAUUCCUAGUUCUCAAAUUAUUGUUUAGGUAGUUUUAUUAUCUUAAAAAACAUCUUUUUUUGUCAUUGGUUCUGCAUGGUUAUUAAAUAAGAAAAUUAUAAUUAUCUUAUCAACUAAUUUGAAGACUUUUCACAAAUUCAUACUUUAAAAACCUCUUUCUUUGUCGUGGGUCCCUACAUGGUUAUUAAAUAAUAAAAUUGUAAUAAUUUUAUCAAUUAAUUUGAAGACUUUUCACAAAUUUAUACAAUACUAGUUAUCGGAAAUGUGUCACAAAGAAGAUGCCAAGCUAAAAGCAAAUCAUGAUUCAUUAUUUUUUUUCCCAAUUGGAGCUCGAUGACCCAAUCCGAAUGCAUUAACAUCAAAAUUAGUGUUUUAUACUAUUUUCAAUGAACCUUGUCAACAUGAUCGUGAAAUGAUUUAUGAUUAUUUUCAAUAAACCUUUCAUCGAAACUAUGUGUAGAACUGCAUGAAUAAAUAAGAAAUUUUCAUAGUUACAGAUUUGCAUUAUCUCACUCUAUAUGAUUUUAUAUAGUUUUUUUUUUAAUACUUCUGCAACAUUUCUUUAGAAAAAAUAUUGUAUCAAUAAAUUCAGUAAUUUUCAUCAAUUUCAAUCUUAUAAUUAAAUGAUACUUCUGUCAUGUAUAUCACCAUACGUGUCACACUUCAUUCAAGAUCAGGUUGAUUAGUCAUGUAUACCUGCUCCAUUAAUAAAGUAUUAAGUUUUUAUUUUAUUUUAUUAAAAUAAUAAAUAAAUAAUAUAAUUUUUUUUUAUUAGAGGUAGUUAGGUAUCAUUAAAUGAUUUGUUGUCCUGCCAUGUCCCCAAUUAAUAAUUUUAUACUUUUCAUUUUUUUCAAAGGAUUUAAAAUAUAAAAUAUUAAAGAUAAAAUAUCUGAAAGUACCGCUUCCAUACCCAAUCAAAUUUUAAAUCUAAAUUAUUGACAUGUGAGUGAAAUUUGGACUAUUAAAUAAAAAGUGAAAAAAAAAUAAAAUAAUAAAUAAUUAAAAAUGUUCCUGCAAGGAGAUGUGACUAAGGUUAAAAAAGGAGGGGAUAAGGAGCGGCUAGGAAUAUGUAAACAAAAUUCAAAUAAUUAAAAAACGAAAUGAUAACUUCUCAAUGAAAUUGAAUGUUUCAGUUCUAAAAUCCAAAACAAAAACUAUAGUGAAAGAAAAAUUUGAGAAAAUAUAGCAUGGUCUUCUCUUUAAUGAUUGAUAAAUAUUUAUAUAUAAAUAAAGUUUAUUUUCCAUUAUAAUUUAGAUUAGUCGAGUCUUGUUUUCUACUCAAAUUCAAACUUCACAUUUUGUUAUAAUUUAAUCUAAUAAUAAUUGUUUUCACAAGACAAGCUGAAGUUAUCCAUUAAAAUACAACUUUUAAUUAAUAGUUUAAAAAAUAAGAUAAAUUUGAAAAUAAUUUUAAAAUUUAAUAAGUAUAUAUAUUUUUAAAUAGCAUUUUUUUUUUUAAAUUGCCAAAUCUAUGCUCAGAAAAGAUCCACAAAAGUUGAUCAACAAAAGAUACCGAACAGGAAGUAGAUGAUAAUCCAUUAUUUUCUUCUUUAUUAAAGUUUGACAACCCAAUCUGAAUUCAUUAACGUGAAAAGCAGUGUUGUAUGCUCAUUUUCAAUGAACCUUGUCAACAUGCACGUCAAAAACAAUGAUUUAUUAACUACGUACAUGUAGAAUUCCAUGGGAAAAAAAAAAAUACAAUUAAGGCCUUGGGAGAUGAAUAAAAGCUUAACCUAAAAUUCAAAAUUCUCAAAACCAUGUUUUUUCACACCAAAAUGUUUCAUCCAGCCAACCUAAGACCGAUUGAAUCCUCCCUCUAAAGCACAUUGCCCAAGAUUACAGGCAACGUAGUAAUUACCUAAGCAAGUACGUCAGAAUCAUAGCAAUUUUUACCAAAGUGGGUAUCGGGAAGGAGCUUUGCCUAAUUCAUUCUUCGACAAGGUUAUCUACUUCCUCUCGUCACUGCCUUCUGUUUGAAUCAUUUGUAGUUAGUUUUAUCAAUCCAGCUAGUGUUAUUAUCAGAAAAACAUGGCUCUAACUGCUAAAGUGGAGACUGAAACAGAGAUCAAAGCACCUGCUGAUAAGUUCUUUAAACUCUUCAGGAGCCAAGCACACCACCUUCCUAAUAUCUGCUCCGAUAAAAUACACAAAAUCGAGGUACAUGAAGGUGACUGGGAGACUCAGGGCUCCGUCAAGCAUUGGAGUUACACCAUUGGUAUGACAUGCAACUCAAACUAAGAACCCCAAAACACUAGCGUUAUAUUCUGUUAAUUAAAAUAAUUUUUGAUGUUUUUGUUUCAUUUCAUUGUUGUUUUCUUCUCCUUUCAAUUAUUCUUUUAGAAUAAUAAACGCAUGCGUCUUUGUACAUUUUUUUUCUUGCAAAUAAGUGAUCGGGUCUGGGCCGCUAGUGACUAUGAUGGUUCUUAGUAAUGUACAUGACAUCUAAUAAUAGCUUCAACAUAUUCCAAUUAUGUUUAACCUCACAUUUUGGUUUUAACUAGGUGGGAAUUCUCAGAGUAUUAAAGAGACUGUGGAAUCAAUAGAUGAAGAAAACAGGUCCAUCACGUUCAAGGUUUUGGAUGGGGAGGUGCUGAAAGAAUACAAGAGCUACAAGUUCACCGCACAAGCGAUACCAAAGGGGGAGGGCAGCUUGGUGAUAUGGACCAUCGAAUAUGAGAAGGCAAGUGAGGGUGGCCCAGAUCCCCAUAACUACCUAGAGUUUGCAGUUAAUAUCACCAAAGAUAUCGAAAGUCACCUUCUCAAUGCAUAACACCAAGGUCAUAUCUACCCUUUGCUAGUAUCUCGCUCGUAAAUAAAGUUUGGACCUUGGAAGUCCAUCUACGUACGAUCUCUAUCUUUCAAUAAACGCAAAUUCCAGGU